rnacentral:lncRNA from 1 species
AAACAAAAGGGGGGUCGCCUAUAUAUAUACGAGAAAAUAACAUAAAAUUUGAUAUUAACCGGUCAACUUGCAUCACUACAGACACAGAUUCGGUGCACUACCAACACAGCCAGACGGCAACACCAACACAGCCAGACGGCAACACCGACAUAUAGUGUCACACUGCAUAUAGACACGACAAAGAUAGAAAAGAAAACAUAAAAUCCGGGUCAAAUUACAAAGGUGAGCUCCCUCCAAGACUGGAAUUAAUAGUACAUGAGCUGCUGCUGCUGCUGCUGUGAGGCACCGACGUUCUGGAAAGUACCAUCGUACAUUGCCUGACUCGCACCUACACCCAUCCCCAUGGCUGCUUGCCUGAGAUGCUGAGCCUGCAUCAAUGCCUGGGUCGAAGCCAUCUUGCUCAUCGCAAUAGCACGUUGAUACGCCAUGAGGUCGGCGGCAGCAGGGUGGCCAGGAGCAGCAGGAGGGGGCAGAGGCGCAGAGGUGGUACCAGGGGGUGUAGGUUUGUUGCCCCAGGAACACUGCAAAACAAGAGAAAAGACCGACGUGCAGCUCCAAUCAGGACAUCAGUCAGAAAAUACUAGCGAAGAAAGGGCGGUUAAGAUGAAACAUCGGCAAAAUCGUUAAGCAGGAAAGGAGCUGCUAACCUUGACUGGUUUACCACCCAAAAUACGACCAUUACCCGUCUGAAUUGCAAGGGCAGUUUCGGCAUGGUUGCUGUACUUGACAAAACCAAAGCCUUUGCCGUGCUGGACACGGACCUCCUCGAUGGCUCCAGCACCAAGUGCAUGGAAGAAACGAUGAAGCACGUCUUGAGUAACCUGGUAUUAAGAACAUCAUGAAAUCAUUAAGGCGGCAAUUGGGACAGAUGUGAUAAUUCAUCAUACAUUUUGAAUAAAUUCAUUAUACCACAUGCAAAGUACAACAGAGUUUAUAGUCUACAUGAGCCAUGCAAGUGAAUGACAAAGCAUAAGAGAAGCAUCCAUAGAAGCAUGCUUGAAGAGCAUUACCUCGUGAGCAAGGUUCCCAACAUAAACAGUUCUGUACAGUGGAUUAUUUUCAGGAGCAUCUUCAUUUGAUUUCUGCUUUGCAUUUUCUGGACAAGACAAAUAGUAGACACCACAAAUCUCAGGAUAAGGAUAAUAAUGUAAACACGUUGAUGACAUAUGAAGAACUGCAAUACUUAAGUUCCUAGCAGUCAAAGCCCAAGAACAUCAUGUAAACAUAAAGCAUCGCAACAAAAACAGAUAUCACAUAAACCAAAUAAAUACAAUCAAACAGCCUAGAAUCACAUACCCAUUGAAAUAUUCUGGUCAAACCAGCUAAUUACUGCUAAAUUUAGAAAAAUGCAGCUUUAAGUGGGUAUGCUUUACUAAUCAAACUCCAGCAUCAACAUGAACCAAUAAAACCUUUAUGAAAAGUAUUGUUAACUAAAAGAUUAUUUGACAAUGAUAAUAGCACAUACCGAAGAACUAAUGUUCUACCUAACCCAUCUUUUGAAACCAACAUCUUAGCAAAUUAAUAAUCUAAAUAGUAGUACAAAAUACAACAGAUCUAUAGGAUUAUACCUGUGAAAUUGUUAUUUACAUCAGCUAUACUUUUCGAAUCAGAUGUUAGCUGGUCCUCGCCACUGUUGGCACCUUUUGUUGCCCAGUUGCAACGAAUCUGCCGAUUCCCAAGCCAUUGACCUAGAAAGGUUAAUUUUUUAAUUUUGUCAUCACCGGUACUUUAAAACUAAGAAGCUGGCACUCACAAUGUCAUUUACAUAACCGUUUCAAUCGUGGAAAAUAUCAAAUGCAUAGGCCUAUAUAUAGGCAAAACAAAUCGAAAUCCUCACUGCACAUAAAACAGGUCUGAACAAGAAAAGUUUUGAGGGCAUACCAUUUAAGUCAUUUAUGGCACUCUGUGCAUCCUGCAGACCAAAUAAAUCAAUUUCAGCAAAAACCCGGAACGGACAAAGCACAGAUUAAGAUGGUUGGGACUGAGAAUCAGCACACCUGUUGAUUCCUGAAGGAAACAAAGCCAUAACCUCUUGAUCUUCCCGUCUUUUGGUCCCACAUUACUCGAGCAUCACUAGAUAACACAAAUCACACCAUUUUAAAAUGAUUCAACACUAGGCAACACAAGCACCACUGCCAAUCGACAAAUAUUAGGUAUAACAGCACCAUUACAAGAUUAUAGUUCAGGAAAGCACAAAUUCUCUAACUAAGCCCAAUAGCAAAAGAAAGUAAUGAAUAUAAGGAAGCACAAAAUGCUUACGAGCAGUUGGGAGAAUAUGCUGAGAAGAAUGCAAAUAAUGCAGAAUCCGUGACCUCAGGGCUAAGAUCACCAACAAAUAUAUGGAAAUGGUCUGUAAAAUGAAUAAGGAUUAACAUAACUGGUCAAAAGCUACCGCACAAGAUGCUAGAAUAGUGAUUCACAAGAAACAGUAGUACUAACCUGUUGUAUCCUCCCUCUGACCACUAGCAUAUGCCCAAUUAACUCUGAUAGGCUGCCCAAAACUGCAAUAACGUUCUUCAGUAAGGUAUAGUAUUGGAAACAAGUGACAAAACUAAGUUUCAGAAGAAUAGAACUAGUAGCUGCUCCUAGCUAUUCUUUUUUCUUACAUUUGCUUCCUGUUAAGUGUCAAAAUUGCUAGGGCAGCUGAUCCGCGUUCGUAGUAGUCAACAAAACCAUACGAGGACUGCAGAAAAGAUAUAGUCAAAAGGUCAAUUUUGCCAUCCUCUAAACUUGAAUCAUAUAUUUGUAUUCACCUUCUAAAAGCAAACAUAACUGCACCCAAAAAAAGGAAAACAGAAUGAAAACUACCUUCUCUUUUCUUAUAAGCUUGCAUCCGUCAACUGAACCAGCACUCUGGAAAACCUCCCGGAGAAGUGCCUCGGUCACUUGAACAUGAAUAUUGCCGACAUAUCUAAAAUUUAUAGAAACUUGGCAAAUCAAAAAACAGUGUAAACAGUGCUUGUAAUUAAGUAUUUGCCAGACAAAAAUAGACGAUAUCCAUGCAAGAGCAUCAAAGUGAAACUAGGUACUCCCUCCGAUCCAAAAUAAGUGUCGCAGUUUUGAACUAAGGUUAGUUCAACAUUAGUUCAAAACUGUGACACUUAUUUUGGAUCGGAGGGAGUAUUAAAUCUACAAGUGUGCGUGCAAAAGGAAGUAAAAGUUCAAAAUGUGAUAUUCAAUUCAAAGCAUGCAAACAAAAAAAUAAAGAAAAAAAACACUAAUGGGACUCACACACUGCGGCAUGUACUUGUAUCAAAACCAGGUGGCAGAUUUCCAGUAAGAAUUGGCUCUAUCUGCAAAAAUAAAAAUGUAAAAACAUUGAAAGAAAGAAAAGAAAAAUAUAUUGAUAAGAAGAAUGUAAGGAGAAGAAGUCAAAUGUGUGCAACCUAUAGAGCACAGCACACCCUAUAGGAUAUCACCAGGAAGUUCCAAUAUGUUAAGUGCACAUCAAAAAUAAAAGACUCUACAUGCUUUGCGAUGAAAACCUAAUCGGUCAGGAAAAAGUGUAUGUGUAAAUGCAAAGUAUUGGAAAUCGUCAUGUGUAAUAACAAUGUAAGCAUUUUACAUCAGGUGCAUGACAAGGCAAGUGCAAAAACUCAUGAUUUGAGUGAAAGAGACUUAAAAACUAACCCACGAUGUCAAAUCACUGGGUAAAAAAUUAUACAACAGAGCGGCAAGGUAAACGCGAUUCCCAGCUAGAUUUGGCUGAAUAAAAUUUAAUCAAUCAGCCAAAAUGUCCAGAACACUAUAAUUUGAAGCAUUAGCAGUCUUCCACCAAAUAAGCAUCACAAGCAAACCACUAACUAAACAUCAAAGUUUGAAUACUAGCACUCCAGACCAAUAAGUCCUCAAUCCCGUUGAGAAAGUUAACCAAACAAGCUGAAAUCAUCCUAUUAGUUUUACAAAGUGAAACAAAUGAGAAAUCGUAGCACCGGACACUUACCAAUUACUCGCUAAUCGUUCACUACAACAUAUAACAUAUAAAAACGUCCAUAUGACCUGGAGACUGUUCCCUCACUUAACUGAACAUCAAAAUCUAAAAUCGCCACGGAUUUGAACACUAAGCGCCUUAAGAUCACUCACUCUGCUCCUUUUACCCGAAACGAAACAGAAUGAACUUGAUCAUUCACAGUCAGUCAGAAAUACUGCUGUCCUCAGUUUCUACCUCGGCGCCGACAGAAUCCAGUCCACCCGGACUUCGGAGACACACAGAACAGCAGAAUUCCGCGAACCCUCGGGCUCGAUAAACAACCGCUCCAUUUACCAUACACCGCCGCAGACUAGAAGCGCCUCCGAAACCACCAAGACAAAGCGGAAACAGGGGACAGACCCAAAUGCCUACAGCCCUCCCCGAUGUUCGCACACUAAGCUCAUCCAAAGUUAGCCCUAUGGCAUACCAAACUUCCGCGGCGCGCUGCCGUGCGGGCGGGCGCGGCGGGGGAGUGGGUGGGUGAGUGGUAACGUACGGACCUGCUGCGGCGGCGCGGCGCCGAGGAGGUGGUGGUGGUGCGGCGGCGGCGGCAUCGCGUACAUGGACUGCAUCGCGGCCGCCUGCUGCAUCAUCGCCGCGGCCUGGCUCUGCUGCGGCAGCAUCGCGCAGCCCGGCCCGCUGCCCGGUCCGGCGACGGUAGAUUGGUGGGGUGAGAGAGGGGAUGGAAGGGUCGAGAAGGUCGGGGUGGAGGAGAGAGAGAGAGAAAGAGAGAUGAAGGGGAGUAAAGGGUAGAGUUUGCUUGUUUUGCUUCGUGUCUUGGGUCAGCCCCUGGAUACGUGGGCCUGGAAUCUCGCUCACUUGUUUUCGGUUUGGAGAGAGAAUCGUCCCGGCGACCCACCGGCGACCCCUGUUUUUGUUUUCUUUUUCUUGACGCGAACUUAGGAUCUUUAUCCAGUGUUAAUCCUGCCUAAAAAAACCAGUGUUGAUCUCUACUCUUUACUUUUUACUUCCUCCGUUUCUAAAUAUAAGAGAUUUUAAUAUGAACUACAUACGAAGCACAAUGAGUAACCUAUACUCUAAAAUAUGUCUAUAUACAUUUAUAUGUAGUCCGUAUUGAAAUAUCUAAAAGAACUUAUAUUUAGAAACGGAGAGAGCAUUAAUUUAUAUAUUAAAAAAUACUUACUUUAAAGACAUAUGGUUCACUCAUCCAACUUUACAUACUUUCCUCCCUUCACUGCUUUUACCUAAAAAUCGUCUGAAUUAUAUCACCAUCAAUUAUUGACUUACUUUGUAAGUACCUGUAUGUUGCAAUGGGUAUAUUUUUAAGAUAGCUCCAAAAAAUACAAUCAUACUUUACGAAAAUCAGAUAGCCUUCGAUCUUGCAAGACCUAGCAAAAGUCUAGUUCUCCGGUGCAUCGGUGUUACAUUAAGUGCUUCGCAUUACACAAAAUUAAUACACCCGCAUGAUCCAUAACACUAGCACAACUGCAUAACGGCGACAAUUUGACUAUCUAACUACAUUCACCUCCAGUGAACCUUCUGCGUUGCUCGGAACCAUGUUUCAACUGUGCUCGUGGUUGAUCACUGCAUUUCAAUGCUAGUAAGAAACAAUUGGACAAUCCUAAAAUAUUAAUGAAGCAGCGGCUAGUCCUUUGUAAUUUUUUAUUGUAUAUAAUGCCUCGCCCUUUCAACAUCUUAUUUUUAUCUGAGUCUACCAUGACACCAUCCUUUAUAAUCUGCAUGCCAUGAGUGCUAUCAUGUCUUCUUCUCGCCAUGUGUUGCCAAACCUGCAAAGGAUACAUAUUAGGUUCUCUCUCUUUCACAAUGCGUGUGUUGUCUGAACCUGGUGUGUAAAUACAACAUUGUCAUGUUUCUUGCAUGUACCUACUAUAGAUAAGUUCAUGGCAACAGAUUAUAAAAAGGUUGAAGAAUCCACAAUAGAACACAAAUAGGUGCAACAACUGACGGUCGGGGAGGACUAGUUCGUCUCCUUCAAUCAUCUCUGAAAGAACAUGCGGUGCCCCAUGUUUGGUUUUGGUAAUUGAUGACAAUCUCUAUGGACUAAUGGUUGCCUUGAGCUAUAUUUGAAGGGUUUGUCCAUAGGUUUUUCUUGAAGUUCAUUUGUUGGUUUCAAGGAUAGUAUGUGAUGACCAAUGUGCUGUUCAAGGAAUUAUCGAAAGAUUGGUCAUGUGAGAGGUUGAUCAAGACUAAGUCAAAGAGUGGAUCAAGUUGAUCAACACAUAAAGCGUACAGAGAUGUACCAAGAGGGAUCAAGUGAUCCCAUGGUAUGGUAAGCAUUGUCCAUUACGCUUUGUAUACUAACCCAUGAUCUACAUGAGAGUUUUAUAUGGGGUUAGGUAUGUUUCAAUGGGUUUGCAUCAAGAGGAAGAUCUCAUACAACCCAUGGAGGAUGACAUUGAUACGUUUCCAACGUAUCUAUAAUUUUUUAUUGUUCCAUGCUAUUAUAUUAUCAAUCCUGGAUGUUUUAUAUACACUUACAAGCAAUUAUAUAUCCUUUUUGGACUAACCUAUAACUUAUUGCCCAGUGCCAGUUGUUAUUUUUUUGCUUGUUUUUGGCGUCGCAGAGUAUUAGUACCAAACGAAGUCAAAUGCCACGAAACUUUUUGGAGAUUUUUUUCUGGACAAAAGAGACACUAGAUGCUUCAUGAGAAGACCAAACGAGGGAGCAUGGGCCCACAACCCACCAGGGCGCGUCCUGAUGGGUGGUGGGGCCCACGAGGCUCCGUUUGAACUAGCUCUGAAAUACUUUUUCCGCCGCCACAAGUUCCAGAACCACGAGAUCCCAUCUAGAGGCCUUUUUCGGCAUUCUGCCAAAGGGGGAUUCGAUCACGGAGGGGGCUCUUCAUCAUCCUUGCUGCCCUCCGAUGAUGCGUGAGUAGUUUACCACUGACCUAUGGGUCCAUAGAUAGUAGCUAGAUGGCUUCUUCUCUCUUUUUGAUCUUCAAUACAAUGUUCUCCUCGGUGUUCUUGGAGAUCUAUUUGAUGUAAUGACUUUUUGCGGUGUGUUUGUUGUGAACCGAUGAAUUGUGAGUUUAUGAUCAGAUCUAUCCAUGAAUAUUAUUUGAGUUUUCUCUUAACUCUUUUAUGCAUGAUUGUUAUAGCCUCAUAUUUGUUCUGCGAUUUAUUGGUUUGGUUUAGCCAACUAGAUUGAUUUAUCUUGCCAUGGGAAGAUGUGCUUUGUGAUGGGUUCGAUCUUGCGGUGCUCAAUCCAAGUGACAAAAAGGGACAUGACACGCAUGUAUCGUUGCUAUUAAGGGUAACAAGAUGAGAUUUAUUUCAUAUGUGAGUUUAUCUUGUCUACAUCAUGUCAUCUUGCUUAAGGCGUUACUCCGUUCUUCCAUGAACUUAAUACACUAAAUGCAUGCUGGAUAGUGGUCGAUGUGUGGAGUAAUAAUAGUAGAUGCAGAAUCAUUUUGGUCUACUUGUCUCGGACGUGAUGCCUAUAUACAUUAUUAUUGCCUUGGAUAUCGUCAUAAUUAUUUGCUUUUCUGUCAAUUGCCCAACAGUAAUUUGUCUACCCACCGUGUGUUAUUUUUAUGAGAGAAGCCUCUAGUGAAAACUAUGGGCCCGGGGUCUACUUUGUAUCAUAUAUUAAAACCAAAAAUAUCUCGCUGCAAUUUUAUUUUGUAUUUUUGUUUGAUCUAUCUAUUAAAAACUAUAUAGUCUAAUCUUGCUCAUAAUCGUUGAGGGAUUGAUAAGCCCUCUACGCGUUGAGUUGCAAGUAUUUGUUGUUUCUGUGUAGGUGUUGUUUACAUAGUGUUGCUUGGUUCUCCUACUGGAUUGAUAAUCUUGGUUUCAUAACUGAGGGAAAUACUUAUCUCUACUAUACCGCAUCAUCGUCCUCUCCUCUUCGAGGAAAUCCCAACGCAGUUCACAAGUAGCAGGAAGAAUUUCUGGCGCCGUUCCCGGGGAGACAUCAUCAACAACUAUCAAGUACCUACGCAUAAACCUUCAUCUCCUUUCAUAUACGUUAUUUUCCAUUUGCCUCUCGUUUUCAUCUCUCCCACUUUUAAAAAGUUUUUACAAAAAUACAAAAAUAUUUUCCUUUUGCCUUUUUCUUGUUUUGAUCGUUAUCUUGUCUGCUUGUUUUGAAACUAUCAUCAUGAGUGACUUUGGUAUGACAGAAAUGGAUGACGGUAGAACUCCUAAAAUUGGAAUUUCCACUAAUCUUCAUGCUAAAACUUUUGUGUUGGGACAAGGGAAUGUUAUAGGAAAAAGUGCCAUCCAAGAAUUCUUUAAUUGCAUUGGAACUUUGACUUGUGAUGAUGCUCCUAUACUUAAAAGAACCAAAACUUAUGCUGAAGCUAUUGCUGCACUUGUUCUUAAACUUGAGAGAAGAUUUAUUCGCACCCAUCCGACUUUCCAAAGAUUGUUUUAUAAGUUGCUGAUACGUCUCCAAUGUAUCUAUAAUUUUUGAUUGUUUCAUGUUGUUAUAUUAUCAUUCUUGGAUGUUUUACAAUCACUUUAUAUCAUUUUUGGGACUAACCUAUUGACAUAGUGCCUAGUGCCAGUUGCUAUUUUCUGCUUGUUUUUUUACAUCACAGGAAAUCAAUACCAAACGGAGUCCAAACGCAGCAAAACUUUUUGUGGAUUUUUUCUGGACCAGAAGACACCAGAUGGGCCAAGAAAGUACCUAAGGGGUGCUCCAAGGGGAGCACAACCCACCAAGGCGCGCCUGGGGGCCCAGGCGCGCCCAGGUGGGUUGUGCCCACCUCGGUGGCCUCCCGCGCCGCCUCUUUGCUCUAUAAAUACCCCCAUAUUCCAGAAACCCUAGGGGGUCGACGAAAAUCAAUUCCAGUCGUCGCAAAUUCCAGAACCACCCGAUCCAAUCUAGACACCAUCACGGAGGGGUUCAUCAUCCUCAUUGGUGCCCCUCCGAUGAUGCGUGAGUAGUUCAUUGUAGACCUACAGGUCCGUAGUUAGUAGCUAGAUGGCUUCCUCUCUCUCUUUUGAUUCUCAAUACAAUGGUCUCUUGGAGAUAUAUUUGAUGUAACUCUUUUUGCGGUGUGUUUGUUGGGAUCCAAUGGACUUUGAGUUUAUGAUCAGAUCUCUGUUUUUAUCCAUGAAAGUUAUUUGAGUCUUUUGAUCUCUUAUAUGCAUAAUUACUUAUAGCCUCAUAUUUCUUCUCCGAUAUUUGGGUUUUGUUUGGGCAACUUGAUCUAUUUAUCUUGCAAUGGGAAGAGGUGCUUUGUGAUGGGUUCGAUCUUACGGUGCUUGAUCCCAGUGACAGAAGGGGAACCAACACAUAUGUAUCGUUGCUAUUAAGGAUAACAAGAUGGGGUAUAUUUCUACAUAAAUAGAUCUUGUCUACAUCAUGUCAUCGUUCUUAUUGCAUUACUCCGUUUCUCCAUGAACUUAAUACACUAGAUGCAUGCUGGAUAGCGGUCGAUGUGUGGAGUAAUAGUAGUAGAUGCAGGCAGGAGUCGGUUUACUAAUCUUGGACAUGAUGCCUAUAUAAUGAUCAUUGCGUGGAUAUUGUCAUGAUUAUUUGAAGUUCUAUCAAUUGCCCAACUGUAAUUUGUUUACCCACCGUAUGCUAUUUUUCUCGAGAGAAGCCACUAGUGAAAUCUACGGCCCCCGGGUCUCUUCUUUAUUCUAUUGCCUUCGCGAUCUAUUUUUAUUUUCUUUUAUUUUCAUAUCUAUAAAUCCAAAAAUACAAAAUACCUUGCUACAAUUUAUUGUUAUUUAUUUUAUCUCGCAUUACCGCGAGAUCAUUUUAUCCAAUCUACUACAAUUUUACCUAUCUUUUUACCCGUGAGGGAUUGACAAGCCCUCUCUUACGUCGGGUUGCAAGUAUUUGUUCUUUGUGUGCAGGAGCUGUUUACGUGGUGUUGCGUGGUUCUCCUACUGGUUCCAUAACCUUGAUCUCAUCACUGAGGGAAAUACCUACCAUUGUUGUGCUGCAUCAUCCCUUCUUCUUUGGGGAAAUACCGACAUAGUUCAAGCAAACAUCAAAAGGAAUUUUUGGCGACGUUGCCGGGGAGACAUCAUCAACAUCUACCAGGUUCCUAAUCACAAAUCUCAUCUCCUUGCAAUUUACAUUAUUUGCCAUUUGCCUCUCGUUUUCCUCUCCCCCACUUCACAAAAAUUGCCGUUUUAUUCACCCUCUUUUUCGUUCGCCGUUUUCUCGUCAGAUCUCUUGUUUGCUAUGUUUGCUUGUGUUCCCAUGUGCCUUUUAUUUGCUUGCAUCUUCACUUGCUAAAAAUCUAUCGAUAUGGAUCCUCAUCCACUUGCUAAUCUUUUUAAAAGAUCCAAUUAUGAUGAACCAAUCUCUAGUGAGUUAAGUGCACUAGAUUAUAUUUAUGAAGUUUUGCUUGAGAUUCAUGAAUCUAAAAAUUGUGAUGAAGUGUUAAAAGAAGGAAUUUAUAAACUGAUUCAUGAUAGCUCCUUGGAUGAAAAGGAUGAUUGCAAUGAUGUUAUUAUAAAUUCUAUUAAUGUCAAUUGUGCUAAUAAUAUUGAAAACCCCAAGCUUGGGGAUGCUUGUUUUGUUAUGUCGGCCACUUAUUGCAAUGAUCAUGUUUGGGGUGAUGAUGAUUCUUAUGAUCUUGAUAGUUUAUUUAAGCCUCAUGAUGAAUAUGUUUGCAGUAAUAUUGAAAGUGGGUUCGGAAGAGUGUCAACUCUAGGUAAAAAUAAUCCCACAUAUUUGGAGAGUGUUCAAUCUUGUGAAAUUUUUGAUAAAAGUGGGUUUGGAGAGGUCAUGACUUUGGUUGAUGUUAAUCCCACUAUCUUGGAAGAUUAUAAAACUUUUAUGCAUGUGGAUCAUGAAGAGAAAAUUUUAUAUGAUAGUUAUAUUUUUGAAUUUGAUUAUGAUCCCACAUGUAAUUAUCAUGAGAGAGGAAAAUAUUGUGGUGGAAAUUUUUAUGUUACUAAAUUACCUCUCGUUAUGUUGAGAUCGUCAAUGUUUUAUUCUUCUACCUUGCAUAUGCUAGAAAUUUCUUGUCUUGAUAAUUUGUUUGCUUAUAAAAUGCCUAUGCAUAGGAAGUAUGUUAGACUUGUGUUUUUCACAUGUUACAUGAUGCUCUCUUCGUGUUUUAAUUACUAUCUUUCAUGUGAGCAUCAUUGAAAUCUAAUGCCCAGCUAGGGGCAUAAAACGAUAGCGCUCGUUGGGAGGCAACCCAACUUGUAUCUUUUUGCCUUUUGGUUUUCUUGCUGUUUUCAAUAAAAUACCAAAUUAUGCCUCUGUUUAUAUGUGUUUUUGUGGUUUAAAUUAGUGUUUGUGCCAAGCAAAGCCUUUGGGAUGAUUUGGGUGAUAGUUUAUUUGAUCUUGCUGAAAAAUAGAAACUUUUGCGCUCACGAAAAUAAUUCUCAUUUUUAACAGAAGCGUGAUAAAAUACUAAUUAUUUUUGCAGAAGAUUAAUAUACAAAUUUCUCACAUUGUCCUAAUGUUUCAGAAAUUUUGGAGUUACAUAAGUAUUCUAGAUAUUCAAAUUGCUACAGAUUGUUCUGUUUUUUGACAGAUUCUGUUUCUUUGUGUUGUGUGCUUGUUUUGAUGAUUCUAUGGUUUUCUUUGAAGAGUUGUUGCCAUAGAAAAGUUGGAAUACAGUAGAUAUAAUGCAAAAAUAAAAUAUGAAUGGGUUUGCAACAGUACUUUAUAGCAGUGAUUUGCUUUCUUAUACUAACGGAUCUCACGAAGGUUUUGUUGAGUUUUGUGUGAUUGUAGUUUUCAAGUUUUGGGUGAGAUCACGAUGGAUGAAGGAAUAAGGAGUAAGAAGAGCCUAAGCUUGGGGAUGCCCAUGGCAUCCCAAGCUAUUAUCCAAAGAGAAGCAAGCAACUAAGCCUGGGGAUGCCCCCGAGUGGCAUCCCCUCUUUCUUCUAACAACCAUCGGUAUUUUACUUGGAACUAUAUUUUUAUUCGUCACAUAUUAUGAGUUUUGCUUGGAGCGUCUUGUAUGAUAUGAGUCUUUUCUUGUUUUGAUUUUUUAUUUUAAGUCAUGAAUCCUUGCCGGACACACCUAUUUGAGAGAGCCAAAAUUAUUCUAUGACUUGUUAGAAUUGCUCUCUAUGCUUCACUUGAAUCUUUAUGAGCUAUGGAAUUGCUCUAGUGCUUCACUUAUAUCUUUUUGAGCACGGUGCGCUUUAUUAUUUUUGAAGAAAUGCUCUCAUGCUUCACUUAGAUUUAUUUGAGAGUUAGUAAAAUUUUAAGAAAUUCUCUCUUGCUUCACUUAAAUUAUUUUGAGAGAAGAAAAAAAUAUGCUCAUGUUCUUCACUUAUAUUUGUUUGAGCUAUCAAAAGCAACAUAUGAAAUUAGUUCCAAAGUGAUAGAUAUCCAAGGAGGAUAUAAUAAAAACUUUCAUGAAGAUCGUUGGACAAAAUAAACUUGAUUCUUUGUAAUAGUUUUGAGAUAUGAUGAUAAAAUAUGUGAGUCAUGUUGAUGAGUAAUUAUGCUUUAGUAAGAAUAUUGGUGUUAAGGUUUGUGAUUCCCUAUGCAAGCACGAAAGUCAAUAGUUAUGCAAUGAAAUUACAUCCUACUUGUGGUGCAUUAUUCGGUGUUAGUUAUGCUUAAUGCUCGCUUAUGAGAUUUUUCGUUUCUUGGUGGGAUGCUUCUCAAUCUUUUGCUAGCCUUCACUUGCACUAAGUAUGAUCACUACUUGUGCAUCCAAAAAUCCUUUAGACCAGUUUUGCCACAUGAGUCCACUAUACCUACCUAUAUGCGGUAUUCUUUUGCCGUUCUAAGCAAAUUUGUAUGUGCCAUCUAUAAUUUUCAAAAUAAACUUCUCUUUUGUGUGCUCGUACCGCUCAUGAAAUGGUAGGGGGUGGCUAAUAUAUUUCCAUGCUAGAUGUGUUAUUCUCAAGAUGAGUGUUUAUUCACUUGUCAUUGCACGAGAGUACGGCAAAUGCAUUAGGGAUGCCCAAUCCCGAAAUCAAAAAUGAAUUUACUUUAUGUUGUCAAAUAAUAAAUUCCUUGGAAAGUGUUGGUAUGGAAGGCACCCGUGGAUACGGUUAGCCAUGUAAAGUGAAAGUAUGCUGGAAAAAGGAAUACAAUUUAUUUUCUGUUUGGGAACCGCCUAUGAUAUAUCUAGCAUGGAAAGUAUUGGGAACCACUCGAUCGUUUUCGUUGACAGGAAAAGCAUGCCUCCCAAAAUGUUUUUAUCUAUCUUUUUCGCUUUGAGCUCUGGCACCUCUACAAAUCCUUACUUCCCUCCGCGAAGGGCCUUUCUAUUUACUUUAUGCAAUUUUUAUUUUUAUUUUGAGUCUCCAUCUUCUCUUAUAAAGCACCAACUAAGGGGCACUAUGAUCGUACUUGAGCAUUGGGUAUAGCUAAUAUGCGAGUGUGUUUCAUGAAUGGAUCAAUGAUUGAGCAUAAUGGGCCAGGGAUAACUUGCUUUAUUGUUGAUAUUUUGAAAGACAUGGUUGCUUGUUGAUAUGCUUGAGUAUUAAAGUCCUCAUGUCAAAACUAGACUAUUGCUUUGAACCAUAUAAAAGUCCAAAUGUCCAUGCUAUAAAGAAAAGAAUAUGUGAUCAACAUGUUAGGCAACAUUCCACAUCAAAAAUUCUGUUUUUAUCCUUUACCUACUCGAGGACGAGCAGGAAUUAAGCUUGGGGAUGCUGAUACAUCUCCAACGUAUCUAUAAUUUUUGAUUGUUCCAUGCUGUUAUAUUAUCAUUCUUGGAUGUUUUAUAAUCAUUUUACAACCAUUUUAUAUCAUUUUUUUGGGACUAACCUAUUGACAUAGUGCCCAGUGCCAGUUGCUGUUUUCUGCUUGUUUUUUUACAUCGCAGGAAAUCAAUACCAAACGGAGUCCAAACGCAGCGAAAUUUUUUGUGGAUUUUUUCGGGACCAGAAGACACCAGAUGGGCCAAGAAAGUACCCGAGGGGUGCUCCGAGGGGGGCACAACCCACCAGGGCAUGCCUGGGGGCCCAGGCGCGCCCAGGUGGGUUGUGCCCACCUCAAUGGCCUCCCGCACCGCCUCUUUUCUCUAUAAAUACCCCAAUAUUCCAGAAACCCUAGGGGUCGACGAAAAUCAAUUCCAGCCGCCGCAAGUUCCAGAACCACCAGAUACAAUCUAGACACCAUCACGGAGGGGUUCAUCAUCCUCAUUGGUGCCUCUCCGAUGAUGCGUGAGUAGUUCAUUGUAGACCUACGGGUCCGUAGUUAGUAGCUAGAUGGCUUCCCCUCUCUCUUUUGAUUCUCAAUACAAUGGUCUCUUGGAGAUCUAUUUGAUGUAACUCUUUUUGUGGUGUGUUUGUUGGGAUCCGAUGAACUUUGAGUUUAUGAUCAGAUCUAUGUUUUUAUCCAUGAAAGUUAUUUGAGUCUUUUGAUUUCUUAUAUGCAUGAUUACUUAUAGCCUUGUAUUUCUUCUCCGAUAUUUGGGUUUUGUUUGGCCAACUUGAUCUAUUUAUCUUGCAAUGGGAAGAUGUGCUUUGUGAUGGGUUCGAUCUUAUGGUGCUUGAUCCCAGUGACAGAAGGGGAACCGACACGUAUGUAUCGUUGCUAUUAAGGAUAACAAGAUGGGGUCUAUUUCUACAUAAAUAGAUCUUGUCUACAUCAUGUCAUCGUUCUUAUUGCAUUACUCUGUUUCUCCAUGAACUUAAUACACUAGAUGCAUGCUGGAUAACGGUUGAUGUUCGGAGUAAUAGCAGUAGAUGCAGGCAGGAGUCAGUUUACUAAUCUUGGACGUGAUGCCUAUAUAAUGAUCAUUGCCUGGAUAUCGUCAUGAUUAUUUGAAGUUCUAUCGAUUGCCCAACAGUAAUUUGUUUACCCACCGUAUGCUAUUUUUCUCGAGAGAAGCCAAUAGUGAAAUCUACGGCCCCGCGUCUCUUCUUUAUUAUAUUUGCCUUCGCGAUCUAUUUUUAUUUGCUUUUAUUUUCAAAUCUAUUAAUCCAAAAAUCCAAAAAUACCUUGCUGCAAUUUAUUUUUAUUUAAUUAUCUCGCGUUCCCGCGAGAUCUAUUUAUCCAAUCUACUAUAAUUUUACCUAUCUUUUUACCCGUGAGGGAUUGACAACCCCUCUCUUACGUCGGGUUGCAAGUAUUUGUUCUUUGUGUGCAGGAGCUGUUUACGUGGUGUUGCGUGGUUCUCCUACUGGUUCGAUAACCUUGGUCUCAUCACUGAGGGAAAUACCACCGUUGUUGUGCUGCAUCAUCCCUUUCUCUUUGGGGAAAUACCGACGUAGUUCUAGCAAACAUCAAUUGCCUGUUAUAAAAAACCCUAGAGCAAAAAAGAAAGCUACUCUUGUCCUCAUGAAUGAAUUUGAUCACAUGGUGCGGGAAGCUAGGGAGAUCUUUGAUUUUUAUGGUAUGAACCGUGAAAAACCAGUGAUAGAUGAGAUCCUUUAUAAUAGUGAUUACUUAUUGAGGCAUUUGCUUCGCAACGACCGCAUAUUUAAUGAGAAUAUUAAAAAGGAAGUCCCUCCUUUCAAUAUGUCCAAAUUUUUUUCAAUAAUGUUAAGCAAUAAUACUCUUGGAUUGUAGCCGGUAAUCAAGGGGGUUUGUAGAUGGACAACUUGCUAAUGCUAAGAUUUCUAUGGAUGAAGUGUUUUUCAUUACUUUCGAAAAGCCGCCCGAUGAAAACAUAUCUUUGGAAAAGAAAGAGGACAAUACUUCAAACUUUGCAUUAUACUAAGCUAGGGGCAUAAAACAAUAGCGCUAGUUGGGAGGCAACCCAAUAGUUAUCUUUUAUUUAUUUUUUUGUUUUCCUUGUUGUUUUUCAAUAAAUACACAAUUAUGCUACUGUUAUGAUUGUGUUUUAGUUUUUUAAUUAGUGUUUGUGCCAAGCAUAGACUUUGGGAUGAUUUGGGUGAUAGUUGCUUUGAUUCUGUACAUUAACAGAAACUUUUGCGUCUAGUAGGAGAAUUGUUAAAAUUUGCUGGAGCGUGAUAAAAUUCUGAUUUUUUUACAUCUGAUUGAUAUACAAAUUUCCCACCUUGUCCUAAUUUUUUCGAAUUUUCGGAGUUACAGAAGUAUGGUCACUGUUCAUAUUACUACACACUGUUUUUUUGGACAGAUUUUGUUUUCCAUGCAUUGUUCCGCUUGUUUUGAUGAAACUAUGGAUUGUAUCGGGGGGUAUAGCCAUGGAGAAGUUAGAAUACAUUAGAUAAAAUGCAAAAACAAAAUAUGAAUGGGUUUUCAACAGUACUUAAAGUAGUGAUUUGCUUUAUUAUACUAACGGAUCUCACGAGGUUUUGUUGAGUUUUGUGUGAUUGAAGUUUUCAAGUUUUGAAUGAUAUCGUGAUGGAUGAAGGAAUAAGGAGUGGCAAGAGCCUAAGCUUGGGGAUGCCUGAGGCACCAUAAGGUAAUAUUCAAGGACACCCAAGCAACUAAGCUUGGGGAUGCCCCGGAAGGCAUCCCCUCUUUGUUCUAACGACCAUUGGUAAUUUUACUUAGAGCUAUAUUUUUAUUCGUCACAUAUCAUGAGUUUUGCUUGGAGCGUCUUGUAUUAUACGAGUCUUUGCUUUGUUUGCUUUUUAGUUUGUCACAAUAUCCUUGCUGAACACACUUGUUUGAGAGUGCCACACACAUAUCAUGAUUUGCUAAAAUACUCUAUGUGCUUCACUUAAAUCUUUUGAGCUAGGCAGUUGCUCUAGUACUUCACUUAUAUCUUUUUGAGAAAGGCGGUGGUUAUAUUUUAAAGAAAUAUGCUCUCAUGCUUCACUUAUAUUAUUUUGAGAGUUGAUUUUUUUUUUAAAGAAAUAUGCUCUGAUGCUUCACUUAUAUAUUUUUUAGAGUUGAUAAUAGCAAUGGUAAUUUGCAUAAGAUAUGAAUUUGGUCCCAAAGUGAUGGAUAUCCAAGGGGGAUAUAACAAAAACUUUCAUAUAAAUCAUUGGAUAUGAUAAACUUGAUUCCUUGCAAUAGUUUUGCAAUAUGGAGAUAGUGAUAUGUGAGCAAUAUUGUUGGUGAGUAAUUAUGCUUUAGUAAUAAUAUUGGUGCCUAUGCAUGCACGUAAAGUCAAUAAUUAUGCAAUGAAGUUUAUGACCAUUUUCGUUUUUUGGUUGGUCGCUUCUCAAUUUAUUUGCUAGCCUUCACUUGUACUAAGCGGGAAUGCUGCUUGUGCAUCCAACUCCUAAAACCCAGAGUUGUGCCAUUUGAGUCCACCAUACCUACCUAUAUGUGGUAUUUCCAUGCCAUUCCAAGUAAAUUUGCAUGUGCCAACUCUAAUUUUCAAAAUGAAUUCCCAUUUUUUGUGCCCGUACUGCUCAUGAAGCGGCAUGGGUGGCCAAUAUUUUCCAUGAUAGCUAUUUUAUUCUCACGAUGAGUUUACUCACUUGUCAUUGCACGAGAGUGUGGCAGGUAAUAGGGAUGCCCAGUCCCGAAAUGAAAAAUACUAUGAUAAUAAAUUCCUUGGGAAGUGUUGGUAUGGAAGGCAUUCGUGGAUACGGCUGGCCACGGAUUGUGAAAAAUGGUGGAAAUGAAAAAAAUUUACUUUCUAUUUGGGAAUCGCCUAUAAUUUGUCUAGCAUGGAAGAUAUUGAGAAUUCUCGGUCGGUUUCGUUGACAGGAAAAGCAUGCCUCUCAAAAUAAUUUUUUAUCUCCAAUUUAAACCUUGAGCUGUGGCACCUCUGCAAAUCUCUGCUUCCCUCUGUGAACGGCCUAUAUAUUUACUUUUAUGCAAUUUUUAUUUUUAUGUUGAGUCUCCAUCUUCUCUUACAAAGCACCAACUAGGGAACACUAUUGUCAUACUUGCAUGCUGGAUGUAGCUAAUAUUUGAGUGUGUUUCGUGAAUGGAUCAAUGAUCGAGCAUAAUGGGCCAGGGAUAACUUUCUUUAGCAUUGAUAUUUUGAAAGACAUGGUUGCUUGUUGAUAUGCUUGAGUAUCGAUGUCUUCAUGUCAAAUUAUAGACUAUUGCUUUGAAUCAUUCAAGUCCAAAUAUCCAUGCUACAAAAGAAAAUAAUAUAUGAUGAAUAUGUUAAGUAGCAUUCCACAUCAAAAAUUCUGUUUUUAUCAUUUAACCACUUGAGGACGAGCAGGAAUUAAACUUUGGGAUGCUUGAUACGUCUCAACGUAUCUAUAUCUUUUUAUUGUUCCAUGUUAUUUUAUUAUCAAUCCUGGAUGUUUUAUAUACACUUACAAGAAAUUUUAUAUCAUUUUUGCGACUAACUAUUAACUUAGUGCCCGACAAUGAUGGAAAGGUGAGAUGCGUGAGCCAUGGAUAUAGCACUAUGGGUGGAAUAGAAUAUGAUGAUGGGGGUUAUGUGGAGAAGACAAAAAAGGAGAAAGUCUCACAUCAACGAGGCUAAUCAAUGAGCUAUGGAGAUGCCCAUCAAUUGAUGUUAAUGCAAGGAGUAGGGAUUGCCAUGCAACAGAUGCACUAGAGCUAAUAAAUAUAUGAAAGCUCAACAAAAGAAACUAAGUGGGUGUGCAUCCAACUUGCUUGCUCACGAAGACCUAGGGCACUUGAGGAGGCCCAUUGUUGGAAUGUACAAGCCAAGUUCUAUAAUGAAAAAUUCCCACUAGUAUAUGAAAGUGUCAAAACGAGAGACUCUCUAUCAUGAAGAUUAUGGUGCUACUUUGAAGCACAAGUGUGGUAAAGGGAUAGUAACAUUGUCCCUUCUCUCUUUUUCUCUCAUUUUUUUGGGCCUUCUCUUUUUUUUAUGGCCUUUCUCUUUUUUAUAUUCCUCACUUGGGACAAUGCUCUAGAAAAAUGAUGAUCAUCACAGUUCUAUUUAUUUACAACUCAAUGAUUACAACUCGAUACUAGAACAAAGUAUAACUCUAUAUGAAUGCCUCCGGCGGUGUACCAGGAUAUGCAAUGAACCAAGAGUGACAUGUAUGAAAGAAUUAUGAAUGGUGGCUUUGCCACAAAUACGAUGUCAACUACAUGAUCAUGCAAAGCAAUAUGACAAUGAUGAACAUGUCAUGAUAAACGGAACGGUGGAAAGUUGCAUGACAAUAUAUCUCGGAAUGGCUAUGGAAAUGCCAUAAUAGGUAGGUAUGGUGGCUGUUUUGAGGAAGAUAUAAGGAGGUUUAUGUGUGAAAGAGCGUAUCAUAUCACAGGGUUUGGAUGCACCGGCGAAGUUUGCACCAACUCUUAAUGUGAGAAAGGGCAAUGCACGGUACCGAAGAGGCUAGCAAUGAUGGAAAGGUGAGAGUGCGUAUAAUCCAUGGACUCAACAUUAGUCAUAAAGAACUCACAUACUUAUUGCAAAAAUCUACAAGUCAUCAAAAACCAAGCACUACGCGCAUGCUCCUAGGGGGAUAGAUUGGUAGGAAAAGACCAUCGCUCGUCCCCGACCGCCACUCAUAAGGAGGACAAUCAAAGAACACCUCAUGUUUCAAAUUUGUUACAUAACGUUUACCAUACGUGCAUGCUACGGGACUUGCAAACUUCAACACAAGUAUUUCUCAAAUUCACAACUACUCAACUAGCACAACUUUAAUAUCACUACCUCCAUAUCUCCAAACAAUCAUCAAGCAUCAAACUUCUCUUAGUAUUCAAAACACUCGUAAGAAAGUUUUUACUAGUCUUGAAUACCUAGCAUAUUAGGAUUAUUUUUUAAGCAAAUUACCAUGCUAUUUAAGACUCUCAAAAUAAUAUAAGUGAAGCAUGAGAGUACAUCUAUUUCUUCAAAAUAAAACCACCACCGUGCUCUAAAAGAUAUAAGUGAAGCACUAGAGCAAACAACAAACUACUCUGAAAGAUAUAAGUGAAGAUCAAUGAGUAGUUAAAUAAUUAUGUAACUAUGUGAAGACUCUCUAACAUUUAAGAAUUUCAUAUCUUGGUAUUUUAUUCAAACAGCAAGCAAGGCUAAAGAAAAUAAAAUGACGCUCCAAGCAAAACACAUAUCAUGUGGUGAAUAAAAAUAUAGCUCCAAGUAAAGUUACCGAUGAACGAAGACGAAAGAGGGGAUGCCAUCCGGGGCAUCCCCAAGCUUAGGCUCUUGGUUGUCCUUGAAUAUUACCUUGGGGUGCCUUGGGCAUCCCCAAGCUUAGGCUCUUGCCACUCCUUAUUCCAUAGUCCGUCGAAUCUUUACCCAAAACUUGAAAACUUCAGAACACAAAACUUAACAGAAAACUCGUAAGCUCCGUUAGUGAAAGAAAAAAAAACACCACUUCAAGGUACUGUAAUGAACUCAUUCUUUAUUUAUAUUGGUGUUAAACCUACUGUAUUCCAACUUCUCUAUGGUUUGUAAACUAUUUUACUAGCCAUAGAUUCAUCAAAAUAAGCAAACAACACACGAAAAACAGAAUCUGUCAAAAAUAGAACAGUCUGUAGUAAUCUGUAACUAACGCAAACUUAUGGAACUCAAACAAUUCUACCAAAAUAGGACGGACUAGAUAAUUUGAUUAUUGAUCUACUUCAAUUGGAAUCGGUAUUUUAUCAUGUUCUGGUAAUUUUUAACAAUUGUUUUCGUGAGCAGAAAGUUUCUGUCUUUUUCAGCGAGAUCAAAUAACUAUCAUCCAAGAAGAUCCUAUAGGUUUAACUUGGCACAAACACUAAUUAAAACAUAAAACCACAUCUAACCAUAGGCUAGAUAGAUUAUUUAUUCCUAAACAUAACCAAAAAGCAAGAAACAAAAAUAAAAUUGGGUUGCCUCCCAACAAGCGCUAUCGUUUAACGCCCCUAGCUAGGCAUGAUGAUUUCAAUGAUGCUCACAUAAAAGAUAAGAAUUGAAAUAUAAAGAGAGCAUCAUGAAGAAUAUGACUAGCACAUUUAAGCCUAACCCACUUCCUAUGCAUAGGGAUUUUGUGAGCAAACAACUUAUGGGAACAAUAAUCAACUAGCAUAGGAAGGCAAAACAAGCAUAACUUUAAAACUUUAAGCACAUAGAGAGGAAACUUGAUAUUAUUACAAUUCCUACAAGCAUAUAUUCCUCCCUCAUGAUAAUUUUCAGUAGCAUCAUUAAUUAAUUCAACAAUAUAACCAGCACCUAAAGCAUUCUUUUCAUGAUCUACAAGCAUAGAAAAUUUAUUUCUCUCCACAUAAGCAAAAUUCUUCUCAUUCGGAAUAGUGGGAGUAUCAUAAGAGACUCGAAUACUAUAAAUUUUUUCCACAUUAAAAGAGUAAUGUUCAGAGAAAGGGUACUCAUAAUCAUGACAAGUUUUAUAAAUAUAAUCAUCACUACUCUUUAUAGCAUAAGUUUCAUCACAAUAAUCAUCAUAAGUAGCAACUUUGUUCUCAUCAUAAUCAAUUGAAACCUCUUCCGAAAUAGUGGAUACAUCACUAAAUAAAGUCAUGACCUCUCCAAAUCCACUUUCAUAAAUAUUAUAAGAUUCAACACCCUCCAAAAUAGUAGGAUCACUACUUCCUAAAGUUGACACUCUUCCAAACCCACUUUCAUCAAUAUAAUCAUCAUAGGUAGGAGGCAUGCUAUCAUCAUUAUAAAUUUGCAUAUCAAAACUUGGGAGACUAAAAAUAUCAUCCUCAUUAAACGUAGCAUCCCCAAGCUUGGGACAAGCAUUAAUUGCAGCAAAUAUUUUCUCAAAAACAUCAUCUUCAUCAAACAUAGCAUCCCCAAGCUUCGGCCUUUUCAUAUCAUAAGCAUAAUCACUCUCAUCAUUAAUAGUAUGGAUAACACCAAUAGUAUAGUAAUUAUCAUAUUCUUCCAAGCAAGUGCCAAAAAGAUUUUCAAGAUCAUAAGGAGUAUCAUUAUCUUCCCAAUCAUAAUCAUCACAACAAGCAAUAGGCAUAACGAGAUCAUCAUCAAGUGCAUCAUCUUCAUUUUCAUGAGGCACAACAAUAAUAGGAGCAACAUUAUUUGGGAGAGAUAUCUUUUUACCUCUCUUCCUUUUUCUUUUCUUCUUCUUCACCUCAUGUGUGGGUUCAAUCCUCUUUUUGGAGCUCCUUAUUAAUGAGAUUGGUUGAAUAGAGGGCUCCUCCUCGUUACCUGGUUCAUCAUAAGAAAUGAUAGGAGGAUAUUGGGAAGUCUCUUCCCUUUCAUUAGUAUUUUCUUCAUCUUCUAUUUGUUUUCUUUUCUUUAUGUAAUUGGCAAUAUAAGGAUUUUCAAUGCAAUUCAUCGCACAAUACAUAUAAAUUUCUUCUGGAUCAAUAUCGAGGAAUUUCUCGAGGUUAUAUUCUGGAAUAAACUUAGUUUGACAUUUCAAUUCUUCAUAACCUAAAAGCAAACUAAGUUCAUUAUAAUGUGCAAGGGAAAUCAAGUCAUCACAAUUUUUGGACACGAUUCGAUCAUGAAACAAUUUGCAUUUGAUAUUUAAAUGGCCUGGUUCAUUGCAAAGUUCACAAGUAUGGCUAAGAUAUUUUAAAUUUUCAGCACUAACAUUUAGCCUUUCUUGCAACCAUUUAGUUUCCAAGUACUUAAUGCCUCUUGCAAUAUCUAUCUUCCCUAUUUGGUGUGUACUUGCAAACCCAAUAUACUCCACAAAAAUCGACAUGCUUAUAAGAGAUAUUUUCAUCAUGACUAGAGCAAUCAUCAUUAGUACCAUGGAUAUUCAAGGGGUUCAUACUAACAACAUUGCAAUCAUGCUCAUAAUUCAAAGAUUUAGUGCCAAACAUUUUAAUGCAUUCUUCUUCUAACACUUUGGCACAAUUUUCCUUCCCAUCAUACUCUCGAAAGAUAUUAAAAAGAUGAAGCAUAUGAGACAAACUCAAUUCCAUUUUUUUGGUAGAUUUCUUUUAUAAACUAAACUAGUGAUAAAACAAGAAACAAAAAGAUUCGAUUGCAAGAUCUAAAGAUAUACCUUCAAGCACUCACCUCCCCGGCAACGGCGCCAGAAAUUGCUUGAUGUCUACUAUGCAACCUUCUUCUUGUAGACGUUGUUGGGCCUCCAAGUGCAGAGGUUUGUAGGACAGUAGCAAAUUUCCCUCAAGUGGAUGACCUAAGGUUCAUCAAUCCGUGGGAGGCGUAGGAUGAAGAUGGUCUCUCUCAAACAACCCUGCAACCAAAUAACAAAGAGUCUCUUGUGUCCCCAACACACCCAAUACAAUGGUAAAUUGUAUAGGUGCACUAGUUCGGCGAAGAGAUGGUGAUACAAGUGCAAUAUGGAUAGUAGAUAUAGGUUUUUGCAAUCUGAAAUUAUAAAAACAGCAAGGUAACUAAUGAUAAAAGUGAGUGUAAACGGUAUUGCAAUGCUAGGAAACAAGGCCUAGGGUUCAUACUUUCACUAGUGCAAGUUCUCUCAACAAUAAUAACAUAAUUGGAUCAUAUAAAUAUCCCUCAACAUGCAACAAAGAGUCACUCCAAAGCCACUAAUAGCGGAGAACAAACGAAGAGAUUAUGGUAGGGUACGAAACCACCUCAAAGUUAUUCUUUCCAAUCAAUCCAUUGGGCUAUUCCUAUAAGUGUCACAAACAGACCUAGAGUUCAUACUAGAAUAACACCUUAAGAUACAAAUCAACCAAAACCCUAAUGUCACCUAGAUACUCCAAUGUCACCUCAAGUAUCCGUGGGUAUGAUUAUAUGAUAUGUAUCACACAAUCUCAUAUUCAUCUAUUCAAUCCAACACAAAGUACUUCAAAGAGUGCCCCAAAGUUUCUACCGGAGAAUCAAGACGAAAACGUGUGCCAACCCCUAUGCAUAGGUUCAUGGGCGGAACCCGCAAGUUGAUCACCAAAACAUACAUCAAGUGAAUCAUGUGAUAUCCCAUUGUCACCACAGAUACGCAUGGCAAGACAUAAAUCAAGUGUUCUCAAAUCAUUAGAAGACUCAAUCCGAUAAGAUAACUUCAAAAGGGGGAACUCAAUCCAUUACAAGAGAGUAGAGGGGGAGAAACAUCAUAAGAUCCAACAAUAGUAGCAAAGCUCGCGAUACAUCAAGAUCGUAUCACCUCAAGAACACGAGAGAGAGACGGAUCAAACACAUAGCUACUGGUACAUACCCUCAGCCCCGAGGGUGAACUACUCCCUCCUCGUCAUGGAGAGCGCCGGGAUGAUGAAGAUGGCCACCGGUGAGGGUUCCCCCCUCCGGCAGGGUGCCAGAACAGGGUCCCAGUUGGGUUUUGGUGGCUACAGAGGCUUGCGGCGGCGGAACUCCCAAUCUAUUCUGUUCCCCGAUCGUUUUAGGGUAUAUGGAUAUAUAUAGGCGGAAGAAAUACGUCAGGGGAGCCACGAGGGGCCCACGAGGGUGGAGGGCGCGCCCAGGGGGGUGGGCGCGCCCCCCUGCCUCGUGCCUCCCUCGUUUCUUUCUUGACGUGGACUCCAAGUCUCCCUGGUUGCUUUCUUUCCAAAAAUAACUUCUCCAGAAGGUUUCAUUCCGUUUCAACUCCGUUUGAUAUUCCUUUUCUUCGAAACACUGAAACAAGAGAAAAACAGGAACUGGCACUGGGCUCUGGGUCAAUAGGUUAGUCCCAAAAGUAAUAUAGAAGUGUUUAAUAAAGCCCAUAAACAUCCAAAAUAGAUAAUAUAAUAGCAUGGAACAAUAAAAAAAUUAUAGAUACGUUGGAGACGUAUCAGCGGUGUGCUCCUCUGUUCGGAGGGAGCGUUCCAUGUUGCCAUUGACUGUUAUGACGCCGCGUGGACCGGGCAUCUUGAGUUUGAGGUAAGCGUAGUGUGGGACUGUGUUGAAUCUAGCAAACGCCGUUCAUCCGAGCAAUGCGUGGUCGCCGCUGCAGAAGGGGACGAUGUCGAAGAUUAACUCCUCGCUUCGGAAAUUGUCCGGAGAGCCGAAGACCACUUCUAGCGUGAUUGAGCCCGUACAUCGGGCCUCGACGCCCGGAAUGACUCCUUUGAAGGUAGUCUUUGUUGGUUUAAUUCGGGAGGGGUCAAUGCCCAUCUUCCGCACUGUGUCUUGAUAGAGCAGGUUGAGGCUGCUACCACCGUCCAUUAAGACUCGUGUUAGGUGAAACCCAUCAAUGAUUGGGUCGAGGACCAAUGCGGCCGAACCGCCAUGACGGAUACUGGUUGGGUGGUCUCGUCGAUCAAAGGUGAUCGGGAAUGACGACCAUGGAUUGAAUUUAGGGGAGACUGGCUCUACCGCGUAGACGUCCCUGAGUGCAUGCUUACGCUCCCUUUUGUGGAUGUGUGUAGCGUAUAUCAUGUUCACCGUUUUGACUUGGGGGGGGGGAUUUCUUCUGCCCCCCAGUGUUCGGCUGCCGGGGCUCUUCGUCCUCGUCCUCACUUUGUGAUCCCUUUUCUUUAUUUUCGGCAAUUAACUUGCCGGCCUGCUUAAAAACCCAACAGUCCCUGUUGGUGUGAUUGGCUUGCUUAUCCGGGGUGCCGUGUAUUUGGCACGGACGGUCAAGUAUGCGGUCCAGGCUGGAAGGUCCUUCAUUGUUUCUUUUGUAGGGCUUCUUCCAUUGGCCGGACUUGGAGCCGCUGAAUCCGGCGUUGACUGUGGUGUCAUUGGUGUUGUUGUCAUUGCUUCGGCGUUUGUGCCUAUUGCGCCGGAGCUUGCUAGUGCUAUUUUAGGCCUCGGAGGGGCCUGUCUCGCUGGCUGUGUUGUUACUACGAGCCAGCCAACUAUCCUCUCCCGCGUAAAAGCGGGUCAUGAGCGCCGUGAGGGCUGCCAUGGAUUUCGGCUUUUCUUGGCCGAGGUGGCGUGCUAGCCAUUCAUCAUGGAUGCUGUGUUUGAAGGCUGCUAAGGCCUCGGCAUCCGGACAGUCAACGAUCUGGUUCUUUUUGGUUAGGAACCUAGUCCAGAAUUUUCUGGCUGAUUCUCCGGGUUGUUGAACUAUGUGGCUUAAGUCAUCGGCGUCAGGUGGCCGGACAUAAGUUCCUUGGAAGUUGUCCAGGAAAGCUUCUUCCAAGUCCUCCCAGCUGCCGAUAGAAUUUUCAGGCAGGCUGUUAAGCCAGUGCCGAGCUGGCCCUUUGAGCUUGAGUGGGAGGUAUUUAAUGGCGUGGAGAUCAUCUCCUCGAGCCAUGUGGAUGUGGAGGAUGAAAUCCUCGAUCCAUACUGCGGGAUCGGUUGUGUCGUCGUAUGAUUCGAUAUUGACGGGCUUGAAUCCCUCAGGGAAUUCAUGGUCCAAUACUUCAUCUGUGAAGCAGAGAGGGUGUGCGGCGCCUCUAUAUCGGGCCGAGUCGUGGCGUAGCUCUGAUGGAGUCCGUCUGCGAUAUUCGGCCUGGGCGUGGUUAGAUUUAUCACGUUCGUAUAGGUAGCCUUCUUCGUGCCUCGAGGCACGCCCUCGCGAUCCGUAGAUCGAUCUUGUGUGUCCUAUUUUAUCGUCCAGGAUUUGCCGGAGGUCGUAUGUGUGACCCCGAACUCUUCCGUCUCUAUUUUUACGAGUCGGUGGGGCAGGCUGCUGUUCGGCCUGAGUUGCCGCUUUGUCCCGGCCGCGGGGUGGCCGGUCAGCCGCCCUAUCUCGACCACGCAGUGGUCAUUCCGCAUUACGCGAGGGAGAUGUGUGCUCCGGUGUCUCCUCAUCGAAUUGAGGUAGCAGUCUGCAUUUCGGGUAGCUCUUGGCUGGGCGCUUGAGGCCGUAUUCUUUCGCUGUCAGGACGUUAGUCCAUCUGUCGACGAGCAGAUCUUGUUCAGCUUGAAGCUGCUGCUGUUUCUUUUUCAGGCUCCUUGCAGUGGCUAUGAGCUGUAGCUUGAAGCACUCCUGCUCGAGAGGAUCCUCAGGCACGAUGAAAUCAUCGUUGCCGAGGCUUUUCUCCUCCUCGGAGGGUGGAUGAUAGCUAUCGUCCUCCGGGUCAUCUUCUAUGGCCUGUUCAUCAGGGUUAUUCUGCUCGUUGCCGUUUUCCUCCUGUUCGGACAUAGCUCCGAUAUGGUCUUUGUUGUUUUCGGCGUCGCCCGGAGUGCUAUUUUCUCCGGUGCCAGUGUUGCCAUCCUUUGAGCGACGAGGUUUAGAACGGCAUUUGGGGCGCCGGCGCUUGGACUGCGUCUCCGAGGGUUUGUUUUUAUCCGGCUCUUCUUUGUCGUUGCCAGAUCCUUUAGGUGUAUCAACCAUGUACACAUCAUACGAAGAGGUGGCCGUCCAACGUCCAGUAAAUGGCGGGUCUUGGCCUUGCUCCUUGUCGGCAUCGUCGUCCAUACCGUCGAUGUCUUCGGAGCCAUAGUCAAGCACGUCGGUUAAGUCAUCGACGGUGGCUAUGAAGUGGGUGGCGAGUGGGAAGCAAAAUUCCUCGUCGUCCGCCUCUAGCUCGAACCGAACAUAGUUCAGCUGUGAGUCUUCCUCCAAGGACAAUUUCUUCAAAGAGCUUAGUACGCCACCCAAAGGCGAAUGCUGGAAGAUGUCUGCGGCGCUAAAUUUGAAAAUUGAUAACCGAUCCAGCUCGGAGUCCGCAGGCGCAUCUGGUCCGGAACGUAUGGCCGGAUACGAGUCUGGAGUUCCAUUGACGCAAGCAUCGCGGGAUGUCAAGUCCGUGUGCGGCUCCAACGCCGUAGGCUUUGUGGCAUCGGAGGGCAUGGUCUGCUUCGGUUCUGAAGCCGUUGCAGCAACAGGAUCCAUCUCCUGGACGUAGUUCGAUAACAGAUUUAAGUCAUGUUCAUCGGAGCACGGGGAAGCAACUGCCGCGGUCUCGAAUCCAUUGAAGAUCAAGUCUCCACGGGUAUUCGCGACGUAGUUUAGGCUUCCAAAUCUGACCUGGUGGCCAGGGGCGUAGCUGUCGAUCGGCUCCAGACGGCCAAGCGAGUUGGCCCGCAGUACGAAGCCGCCGAACACAAAGAUUUGUCCAGGGAGAAAGGUUUCUCCCUGGACGGCGUUAUUACUGACGAUCGAAGGGGCCAUCGAGUCCUUUCGUCGAUGGCACAGUGGAACUCUCAAUGAAAGCACCAAUGUCGGUGUCAAAACCGGCGGAUCUCGAGUAGGGGGUCCCGAACUGUGCGUCUAGAAUCGAUGGUAACAGGAGACGGGGGACACGAUGUUUACCCAGGUUCAGGCCCUCUCUAUUGAUGUAAUACCCUACUUCCUGCUUGAUUGAUCUUGAUGAAUACGAGUGUUACAAGAGUUGAUCUACCACGAGAUCGUAAUGGCUAAACCCUAGAAGUCUAGCCUAUGAGUACAUGGUAAUGAAUCUGUCCUAUUCGGACUAUGCUCUCCGGUUUAUAUAGACACCGGAGAGAUCUAGGGUUACAUGAGGUCGGUUACAUAAGAGGGGAUCUUCAUAAUUGGUCGCCAAGCUUGCCUUCCACGCCAAGAAGAGUCUAAUCCGGACACGGGUAUAGUCUUCGGUCUUCGUGUCUUCAUAGCCCAUCGGUCCGGCCCAAUGAGUAACAGGCUGGACGCCUGAGGACCCCUUAGUCCAGGACUCCCUCAGCGCCACCCUGAUAGAGGCAUACGUACCGCGCGUACAUAACUACGCACUAAAGAUACCGUGGGCAAAGACGGAGGCACACUAAAAACAAGGUCCACAAUACGGCUCGACCCUACCCGAACCUUCAUAUUUCCCCCUUUUUCUUCUUAUUUUUAUCUUUCAGGUUCUUUACAACCCACAUCACUUUUCAAUGACACCAAGGGCCCUUUUCCAGGCCCCUUAUGUAUACUCGAUCGUUGAUCCUCACAAAGGAUCAUACACCAAGGCGAAAAGCGGCGCAGACGUGCGGUAGAGUGUCCAAAGGAUCUUCAAGAUCAUCUUUUCCUUUUUAGGACGUGUAUACAACUUUCCCUUGUUCUCGGCAUGUAAAAUAGCCUCGAUGCUUUCUGUAAAAAUACGUUUUGACGUACCAAUCAGACUAUAAUGGAAACAGUUUUGCCCAACCUUGUUCGGUAUUGGCUUAUUUCUUAAUCUGUCUUCCCCCUUUACGUUUAAUUGGCAUAUACACCUCGGCAUGACUUAAAUCGCCAGGGGCUCUAUUCAGCCAUAUAUAUUUUCGGAAACAGAAAGUCCGAACACCCUCAGAGUAGACUUCAGCGUCCCGAAUACAUCAUUAUAUGCAUCGGCUCCGAAUCAUGUCUUUGGUCAAUAAUUGGGUUACCCGGCUCCUGUGUUUGCUACCUUACGUUCCGCUUGUUCGGCUAAGGUCGUAAAGGGAGAACUACUGCGAUUGUGUUUCUGGUUCGCCCGGUCAAGCACCUCAGUAGAGAAAGCCGAAAACUGGCCGUCAUAAUACGGUGAGGGCUGGUCAACAAUUCGGCGACUUACUAAAUCUCUAGCGAUUUCUUCCAGUCAGGUGCAUAAGGCAUCCAAGUGCAGAUAGCUGCAUACACACCAGGGGCUAUCUUAUAGUCCCAUUGUCAAACUCCUAUGGCUAAGUGAGAGUGAUAAAGCCGCAUAGUCCGAUUGCCUGGUUCGCCGCACUGACACCUCCUUUACGGACCAAGACGUUGGGUCAAGUGUAGUCAUGUGCUAUUCUAAACACCCCCGUAGUAUCUACGUGGGGGCUGAAGCCGACGACUGGCAAACUCUCAGGGAUAAAAACGGCCGCAUAGGAGGAAAAAUACUUUAAGAUAAAAGGCACAAAUAUAUUACAAAGCUUAAGUUCAUAAUACAAUGCCUGGUCAGGUCAGAUACAUUUACUCGAACAUAAUUUCCUUCGAGCUUUCACCCUCUAUCAAACGGGCACCUUCUAGGACGUCUUAGAAAUAGCGCUCCGGCUUGCGGUGGUCCUCGCCCCUGGCGAGCCCUCGACUGCCACGACGAUGGCCUUCAUUUUCGCCCAGUGCAUCUUGACACGGGCGAAGGCCAGCCGUGCACCUUCUAUACAUGACGACCGCUUGACCCCGUCAAUUCAGGGCAGCGCGUGAUACGUAUCCAUUGUAUCUACUUUUCCAAACACUUUUGCCCUUGUUUUGGACUCUAACUUGCAUGAUUUGAAUGGAACUAACCUGGACUGAUGUUGUUUUCAGCAGAAUUGCCAUGGUGUUAUUUUUGUGCAGAAAUGAAAGUUCUCAGAAUGACCUGAAAAUCAACGAAGAUUAUUUUUGGAAUUUAUAAAAAAUACUGGCAAAAGAAUCAAGGCUAGGGGGCCCACACCCUGUCCAUGAGGGUGGGGGCGUGCCUACACCCCUGGGCGCGCCCCUGCCUCGUGGGCCCCCUGGAGCUCCACCGACCUCAACUCCAACUCUAUAUAUUCACGUUCGGGGAGAAAAAACAAGGAGAAGGAUUCAUCGCGUUUUACUAAACAGAGCCGCCGCCAAGCCCUAAUCUCUCUCGGGAGGGCUGAUCUGGAGUCCGUUUGGGGCUCCGGAGAGGGGAAUCCGUCGCCAUCGUCAUCAUCAACCUUCCUCCAUCACCAAUUUCAUGAUGCUCACCGCCGUGCGUGAGUAAUUCCAUCGUAUGCUUGCUGGACGGUGAUGGGUUGGAUGAGAUUUAUCAUGUAAUCGAGUUAGUUUUGUUAGGGUUUGAUCCGUAGUAUCCACUAUGUUCUGAGAUUGAUGUUGCUGUGACUUUGCUAUUCUUAAUGCUUGUCACUAGAGCCCGAGUGCCAUGAUUUCAGAUCUGAACCUAUUAUGUUUUCAUGAAUAUAUGUGAGUUCUUGAUCCUAUCUUGCAAGUCAUUAGUCACCUACUAUGUGUUAUGAUCCGGCAACCCCGAAGUGAUAAUAAUCGGGACCACUCCCGGUGAUGACCGUAGUUUGAGGAGUUCAUGUAUUCACUAUGUGUUAAUGCGUUGGUCCGGUGCUCUAUUAAAAGGAGGCCUUAAUAUCCCUUAGUUUCCAAUAGGACCCCGCUGCCACGAGAGGGUAGGACAAAAAAUGUCAUACAAGUUCCUUUCCAUAAGCAUGUAUGACUAUAUUCGGAAUACAUGCCUACAUUACAUUGAUGAAUUGGAGCUAGUUCUGUGUCACCCUAUGUUAUAACUGUUGCAUGAAUAAUCGCAUCCGGCAUAAUUCUCCAUCACCGAUCCAAUGUCUACGAGCUUUUCACAUAUUGUUCUUUGCUUAUUUACUUUACCGUUGCUACUGUUACAAUCACUACAAAACUAUCACUGUUACUUUUGUCUACGUUACCGUUACUUCCAUACUACUUUGCUACUAAAUACUUUGCUGCAGAUAUUAAGUUAUCCAGGUGUGGUUGAAUUGACAACUCAACUGCUAAUACUUGAGAAUAUUCUUUGGCUCCCCUUGUCGAAUCAAUAAAUUUGGGUUGAAUACUCUACCCUCGAAAACUGUUGCGAUCCCCUAUACUUGUGGGUUAUCAAGACCAUUUUCUGGCGCCGUUGCCGGGGAGCAUAGCUCUAUUCUUUGAGUUACUUGGGAUUUAUAUCUGCUUGUCACUAUGAGGAACUUGAAAGACGAAAGAACUAAGAUUUUUCCCUCAACUACGAGGGGAGGUAAGGAACUGCCAUCUAGCUCUGCACUUGAUUCACCUUCUGUUUUGAGUAAACUUGUGACACCUAAACCUGCUUCUGCUAUUAGUUCUGAUAUGUCGCAUGUUAUUGAUGAUGCCACUUCUGCUAUGCAUGAUACUUAUGAUGAAACUACUUCUAUGCUUGAUACUACUGUGCCACUUGGUGAAUUUCUUGAUGAACAACUUGCUAGGGCUAGAGAGAAUGAAAUUAUUGAAACUGAUAAUAUUGAUGAAAGUGAUGAUGAAGAUUCUCCCCUAGAUAUGAAUUGCCUGUUGUGCCCGAGGGUUAUGUUAUGGAUGAAGAAACUGCUAGAGACUUUCUUGCUUGCAAUGAUAGAAGUGAUCUUAAGAAAUUAUUAGCUAAGCUGAAAGAAAAAUCUCUGAAUGCUAGAAUGAAAUAUGAUCCUGCUUAUGCUACUUCACCUAUCUUUGUUACUGAUAAAGAUUAUGAAUUCUCUGUUGAUACUGAGAUAAUUACUUUGGUUGAAUCUGAUCCUUUCUAUGGCUAUGAAUCUGAAACUGUUGUGGCACAUCUUACUAAAUUAAAUGAUAUAGCCACCCUGCUCACUAAUGAUGAGAAAACUCGCUACUAUUAUAUCCUUAAAUUAUUUCCGUUCUCAUUAAAGGGUCAUGCUAAGAUAUGGUUUAAUUCUCUUGAUCCUUGUUGUGUGCGUAGUCCCCAGGAUAUGAUUUAUUACUUCUCUGCUAAAUAUUUCCCUGCUCAUAAGAAACAAGCUGCUUUAAGGGAAGUAUAUAAUUUUGUGCAAAACUAAGAAGAGAGUCUCCCACAAGCUUGGGGGAGGACUCUCCAAUUACUUAAUGCUUUGCCUAAUCAUCCUCUCAAGAAAAAUGAAAUACUUGAUAUCUUUUAUAAUGGACUAACCGAUGCUUCCAGAGACCACCUGGAUAGUUGUGCUGGUUGUGUUUUCAGGGAAAGAACUGUUGAUCAAGCUGAAAUUCUAUUGAAUAAUAUGUUGACCAAUGAAAAUAAUUGGACACUUCCUGAACCAACUCCUAAGCCAACUCCGAAGAAAAGGGGUAUUCUAUUUCUCAGUCCUGAAGAUAUGCAAGAGGCGAAGAAAUCUAUGAAAGAAAAAGGUAUAAAAGCUGAAGAUGUUAAGAAUUUACCUCCUGUUGAAGAAAUACAUGGUCUUAAUUCAUCACCUAUUGAAGAAACACAUGGUCUUGAUAAUCCGACAUAGGUAGUAAAGGUAAAUUCUCUUUAUAGAUAUGAUAAAGCUGAAAUCCCUCCUGCUAAGUUUGCUAGCCAAUGUUUGGAUGAAUUUGAUAACUUUAUGGUUAAGCAAGAAGAUUUUAAUGCUUAUUUUGGUAGACAACUGAAACGCAUUGCUUAUAUGAUUGAACACUUGGGUGAUUAUAUGUCUAGAGUUAAGGGUGAACUUAAACUCAUUAGUAAACAUGCUUCUAUGGUUACCACUCAAGUAGAACAAGUGCUUAAAGCUCAGAAUGAUUUGCUCAAUGAAUUGAAUAGUAAGAAUAAUGACUUUGCUGUUAGAGUUGCAACUAGAGGGGGUAAAGUGACUCAGGAACCUUUGUAUCCUGAGGGCCACCCUAAGAGAAUUGAGCAGGAUUCUCAGAGAAAUAACGUUGAUACACCUAGUUCUUCUAAGAGGAAGAAAAAGAAAAAUGAUAGGACUUUGCAUGCUUCUAGUGAACCUGUUGUAGACACACCUGAGAAUCCCAAUGAUAUUUCUAUUUCUGAUGCUGAAACACAAUCUGGUGAUGAACAUGAACCUAGUGGUAAUGUUAAUAAUGAUGUUCAUGUUGAUGCUCAACCUAGCAAUAACAAUGAUGUAGAAAUUGAACCUGCUGUUGAUCUUGAUAACCCACAAUCAAAGAAUCAACGUUAUGAUAAGAGAGACUUCAUUGCUAGGAAGCACGGCAAAGAAAGAGAACCAUGGGUUCAGAAACCCAUGCCUUUUCCUCCUAAACCAUCCAAGAAAAAGGAUGAUGAGGAUUUUGAGCGCUUUGCUGAAAUGAUUAGACCUAUCUUUUUGCGUAUGCAUUUGACUGAUAUGCUUAAAAUGAAUCCUUAUGCUAAGUAUAUGAAGGAUAUUGUUACAAAUAAGAGAAAGAUACCAGAAGAUGAAAUUUCCACCAUGCUUGCUAAUUAUACUUUUAAGGGUGGAAUACCUAAGAAACUUGGAGAUCCAGGAGUACCAACUAUACCAUGCUCCAUUAAAAGAAACUAUGUUAGAACUGCUUUAUGUGAUCUUGGAGCCAGUGUUAGUGUUAUGCCUCUCUCUUUAUAUCGUAGAAUUGAUUUGAAUAAGUUGACACCUACUGAAAUAUCUUUGCAAAUGGCUGAUAAAUCAACUGCUAUACCUGUCGGUAUUUGUGAGGAUGUGCCUGUUGUGGUUGCAAACGUUACUAUUUUAACGGACUUUGUUAUUCUUGAUAUUCCCGAGGACGAUAGUAUGUCUAUUAUUCUUGGAAGACCCUUUUUGAAUACUGUAGGGGUUGUUAUUGAUUGCAAUAAAGGCAACGUCACUUUUCAUGUUAAUGGAAAUCAGCAUAUGGUACACUUUUCGAGGAAACAACCUCAAGUUCACAAUUUCAAUUCUAUUGGAAAAAUUUCAUCGAUUAUUAUUGGAGGUUUUGAAUUUCCUCUACCUACUGUCAAGAAGAGAUAUGAUAUUCUUAUUGUUGGGGAUGUGCAUAUCCCCGUUGAGGUAACAUAGUGUUAUUCGAAAUUUAUCCGGUUCCAUAUUAUUCGGAAUGAGUUUGUUAACAAGACUUGAUCAACCUUGUUAGUAGAUUCCUUUUGAUGAGCAUGAGAUGGAUGAAGUUAGAAAGCACAACCUUCUGUACCCUCCUUUUACAUUCUGUUAUUUAGAUUAAAUAAAGAAAAAAUAGUAUUUUCUGUCAGUUUUCUGAAUUAUCCGUGCAAUAAAAAAUACCCCAAAAAUAAAAGUUCUCCAAAUGCCCUGAAAAUGAAAUAUGAUUUUUUCUAGAAUAUUUGAGAAUAUCUGGCACUGAGAACACAUCAGGGGAGCAAGCCACGAGGGUCUAGGGCGCGCCCACCCCCUGGGCGCGCCCCCUGCCUCGUGGGCCCAUGGUGGCUCCCCUCCACUUAUUCCAGCCACCACACACUCCUUCUUCCUCCCCAAAAAAAAUCACCAACCAGCUCAAGCACGAGUUCUAGCUCAUCUUGCUGCUAUUUUCGAUCUCCUUGCUCAAAGCUCCACUCACAAAACUGCUUUGGGGGAUUGUUCUUCGGUAUGUGACUCCUCCAAUGGUCCAAUUAGUUUUUGUUCUAGUGCUUUAUUCAUUGCAAAUUUUUGCUGCUUAGCUGACCCUGUUCUUGAGCUUGCAUGUCAAAUUUAUUUGGUUCCAAGUAGUUCUAAUGCAUGAUAUAGCAUCUAGGCACUUGUGGGAGUAGUUACUAUCAAUUUUGUUGAGUUUGGUUCACUUUUAUUUGAAGUUACUAAAAAUUUCAGAAAAUGAUGAAGAGAUUUUUGAGGGGUUCUUCGAGCCGAGGCUCGAAGGAUAAGCAAAGUGAAGAAGACGAGAGGCCCAAAUAUAAUCUCCCUCGCACCAUGGAGGUUCGGCCGUGUGAAUGGCCUUGUGAUGAUUUCUUGAGAGCAGCCGGGAUUUAUGAUGAUUUUUAUGAGUUGGCUGAGAAUGCAGGCCUCACUGACUUCCUUUGCGACCAACGCGAACAGUAUCUCCUACUCACUAAUAUUUUUGUGCAAAAUUUUCAUUUCCAUGCUAGGAGGUCACCACCUUCGGUUGAUUUCUAUUUAUAUGAUGAGUAUAAGGAGAUGUCCCUCUAUGAAUUUUGUGAGGUCUGCAAGUUGCCCUUUUCGGGCAGCGUAGAGGAACCACAUCGUAACGAUGUGGAGGGGUUUAUUGAUACAAUUACUGUAGGGGAAACGAGGAAGGUUUCCGAUGCAAGAAUUACUAGCAUACAUUUUCCUGUUCUACGUUACUUUGCAAUUUUUGCUAGUAGAUGCUUAAUUGGUCGCGGAAACUGUGGCAACCUUAGUGCCCCUGAUAUUGUUAUUUUGUGCCAUGCCUUGUUCCGUGAUGACACAUUUAGUAUGGGCGCUAUUGUUGCAAAGCGGUUAAAUCUUAACCAUACGAAGGGCCCCAUCUUGGGAGGUAUCUUUGCCUCGCGCCUCGCUGCACAUUUUAACAUGCCUAUUAGGCAUUAUGAGAAAGAAGAAAAGUUGCUGCCUCCUGUUUUCUAGACUAUAAGAGUAUGGUAGCACAUGAUUUUAUUGUUAAUAAUAAAGAAAAGAUGCUUAAGUACAAGCUGAUAUUUGAUAAAAAUCACCCUGAGACUAUCACUUUGCCUGCUCCUUCCUUGUUUGACUUAUCUCCAGGCAAGUACCUUGUUCUGCCGGAGGCCAUUCACGCCUACCGAAACCCCACACCAGCUACAGAGCCAGAGCCAGAACCACAAUUUGUUCCUUCAUGACAGUGUGUUUACCAGUGGGAUCCGGAGGAGAUUGCCAACCAAUGGCAACCCGAGGCUCCUUCUUAGUACGACCCCAACUACAACUUUGGAUAUCCGCCAGGUCAGCCGUGGCCAUAGACCAACUUAGGCCAAAAGCCUAAGCUUGGGGGAGUACGUAUUUCUCACUGACAUUACAUUCAUGUUCACACACUCAUUCUAGUUGUCGGUGCUCACACUUUUUCACUGUACUAUCCAUGCUAGUUUAUUUUCCUUUUUAUGCUUUCUUCUUGUGUGUUUGAUAAACCUUAAGAAAAACCAAAAAAAUUAGUUGUAGCUUUUAGCUAGUUUACUUUCCAUGCUUGUAUUAGUAAUAAUUAAAAAAGAAAACCCAAAAAGAUUUCUCGUUCUUCUUUUGCUUGUUGGGAGCUUUCCCGUGUAAAUAGUUUUAUUUCUUUUCUUUUCUUUGGGGGUCGAGAGGAGAAGACCAUAAUGAAAAUGUUGGAGUGGCUCUUAUAUGCAUUAUUGUUGAUUUAACAAAGAGCCCAUAUUAUCUCGUCUUCUCCUGUGUGUCAGAUGCUUGCAGAUUCCAGCUUAGUCCAAUGCACGUGCACUAUUAUUAUUAUUCAUAUCGUUCGGUCGUGCAAGUGAAAGGCAAUAAUGACGAUAUAUGAUGGACUGGUUGAGAUAAGAAAAGCUGGUAUGAACUCAACCUCUCUUGUUUUGUAAAUAUGAUUAGUUCCUCGUUCCUGAUUCAGCCUAUUAUGAAUAAACAUGUUUACAAUGACAAUUAGAGAUUAUAGUUGCUUAUGCCAUGCUUAAUCAGCUAGGAGUUUAUAAUGGUUUACCUUGCGUGCCAACAUGCUAUUAGAAUGGUUGUGAUGUGGUAUGAUGGGGUGGUAUCCUCCUUUGAAUGAUUCAAGUGACUUGAUUGGCACAUGUUCACACAUGUAGUUGAAACAAAUCAACAUAGCCUUCACGAUAUUUAUGUUCAUGGUGGAUUAUAUCCUACUCAUGCUUGCACUCAAUGUUUAUUAAUUUUAAUGCAUGUUCAUGACUGUUGUCGCUCUCUAGUUGGUCGCUUCCCAGUCUUUUUCUAGCCUUCACUUGUACUAAGCGGGAAUGCUGCUUGUGCAUCCACUUCCAUAAACCCCAAAGUUAUUCCAUAUGAGUCCACUAUACCUUACUAUAUGCGGUAUCUACUUGCCGUUCCAAGUAAAUUUGUAUGUGCCAAACUCUAAACCUUCAAACGAAAUUCUGUUUUGCAUGCUCGAAUAGCUCAUGUAUCAACUAGGGCUGUCUGUAUCUUCCAUGCUAGGCGGGUUAUUCUCAAUAGGAGUGGACUCCGCUCCUCACUCACGAGAAAUUGGCUGGUCACCGGGAUGCCCAGUCCCAUGCUUUAUGCAAAUAAAAUCGAAAUAAUUGCAAACAAAACCCCCCGGGACUCUUGUUAGUUGGAGGCACUUGUUGUUUCGAGCAAGCCACGGAUUGAUGCUUGUUGGUGGAGGGGGAGUAUAAACUUUACCAUUCUGUUUGGGAACCGCCUAUAAUGUGUGUAGCAUGGAAGAUAUCGAGAUCUCUCAGUUGUUAUGUUGACAAUGAAAGUAUGCCACUCAAAAUAUUAUUCGUCUCUGCUUUAAAAUCGAGCUCUGGCACCUCUACAAAUCCCUGCUUCCCUCUGUGAAGGGCCUAUCUAUUUACUUUUAUGCUGAGUCAUCACCCUCUUAUUAAAAAGCACCAGCUGGAGAGCACCGCUGUCAUUUGCAUUCAUUUCUAUUAAUUUAUAUUGGGUAUGACUGGAUCUCUUUUACCAUGAAUUACAAUGUUUAGUCAGUCCUUGAUCUUUAAAGGUGCUCUGCAUUUAUGUUUUGCGGUCUCAUAAAGGGCUAGCGAGAUACCAUCUUGUUAUAUCAUAUCAUGAUUGUUUUGAGAAAGUGUUGUCAUCCGAGAUUUAUUAUUAUUGCUCGCUAGUUGAUUAUGCCAUUGACAUGAGUAAACAUGAGACCUAAGUGUUGUUGUGAAUAUGGUUAGUUCAUAAUCUUUGCUGAAAACUUGAAUGCUGGCUUUACAUAUUUACAACAACAAUAGCAAACAGAGUUUGUAAAAGUUUUUCUUUAUCACUUUCAGUUUAUCAACUGAAUUGCUUGAGGACAAGCAAAGGUUUAAGCUUGGGGGAGUUGAUACGUCUCCAUCGUAUCUACUUUUACAAACACUUUUGCCCUUGUUUUGGACUCUAACUUGCAUGAUUUGAAUGGAACUAACCCGGACUGGCGCUGUUUUCAGCAGAAUUGCCAUGGUGUUAUUUUUGUGCAGAAAUAAAAGUUCUCGGAACGACUUGAAAAUCAACAGAGAUUAUUUUUGGAAUUAAUAAAAAAUACUGGCGAAAGAAUCAAGGCCAGGGGGCCCACACCCUGUCCACGAGGGCGGGGGGCGCGCCUACCCCCUGGGCACGCCCCCCUGCCUCGUGGGCACCCUGGAGCUCCACCGAUCUCAACUCCUACUCUAUAUAUUCAUGUUCGGGGAGAAAAAAAUCAGGGAGAAGGAUUCAUCAUGUUUUACGGUACAGAGCCACCGCCAAGCCCCAAUCUCUCUCGAGAUGGCUGAUGUGGAGUCCGUUCGGGGCUCCGGAGAGGGGAAUCCGUCGCCAUUAUCAUCAUCAACCUUCCUCCAUCACCAAUUUCAUGAUGCUCACCAUCGUGCGUGAGUAAUUCCAUCGUAGGCUUGCUGGACGGUGAUGGGUUGGAUGAGAUUUAUCAUGUAAUCGAGUUAGUUUUGUUAGGGUUUGAUCCCUAGUAUCCACUAUGUUCUGAGAUUGAUGUUUCUAUGACUUUGCUAUGCUUAAUGCUUGUCACUAGGGCCCGAGUGCCAUGAUUUCAGAUCUGAACCUAUUAUGUUUUCAUGAAUAUAUGUGAGUUCUUGAUCCUAUCUUGCAAGUCAUUAGUCACCUACUAUGUGUUAUGAUCCGGCAACCCCGAAGUGACAAUAAUCGGGACCACUCCCGGUGAUGUCCGUAGUUUGAGGAGUUCAUGUAUUCACUAUGUGUUAAUGCUUUGGUCCGGUACUCUAUUAAAAGGAGGCCUUAAUAUCCCUUAGUUUCCAAUAGGACCCCACUGCCACGGGAGGGUAGGACAAAAGAUGUCAUACAAGUUCUUUUCCAUAAGCACGUAUGACUAUAUUCGGAAUACAUGCCUACAUUACAUUGAUGAAUUGGAGCUAGUUCUGUGUCACCCUAUGUUAUAAUUGUUGCAUGAAUAAUCGCAUCCGGCAUAAUUCUCCAUCACCGAUCCAAUGCCUAUGAGCUUUUCACAUAUUGUUCUUCGCUUAUUUACUUUACCGUUGCUACUGUUACAAUCACUACAAAACUAUCAUUGUUACUUUUGUCACCGUUACCGUUACUUCCAUACUACUUUGCUACUAAAUACUUUGCUACAGAUAUUAAGUUAUCCAGGUGUGGUUGAAUUGAAAACUCAACUGCUAAUACUUGAGAAUAUUCUUUGGCUCCCCUUGUGUUGAAUCAAUAAAUUUGGAUUGAAUACUCUACCCUCGAAAACUGUUGCGAUCCCCUAUACUUGUGGGUUAUCAGCGUGUUGAUGAGUCGCUGCACCAGGCCAAAAUAGCUGCUUGGGAUGGGUUCGGCUGGCCACAGCCGGACUAUGACGUCCCUCAUGGCCAAUCCGGACAUCCUAUGCAGCUCGGCCCACUGCGUCAUUGCUACCUCUUGAGCACUGCGUUGGUUUUCCCUUGAAGAGGAAAGGGUGAUGCAGCAAAGUAGCGUAAGUAUUUCCCUCAGUUUUUAAGAACCAAGGUAUCAAUCCAGUAGGAGGCCACGCACGAGUCCCUCGCACCUACACAAACAAAUAAAUCCUCGCAACCAACGCGAUAAGGGGUUGUCAAUCCCUACACGGUCACUUACGAGAGUGAGAUCUGAUAGAUAUGAUAAGAUAAUAUUUUUGGUAUUUUUAUGAUAAAGAUGCAAAGUAAAGAAAGUAAAAUAAAAAGGGCAAUGGAAAUAGCUUGUUGUCGGGAGAUUAAUAUGAUGGAAAAUAGACCCGGGGGCCAUAGGUUUCACUAGUGGCUUCUCUCAAGAGCAUAAGUAUUUUACGGUGGGUGAACAAAUUACUGUUGAGCAAUUGACAGAAUUGAGCAUAGUUAUGAGAAUAUCUAGGUAUGAUCAUGUAUAUAGGCAUCACGUCCGAGACAAGUAGACCGACUCCUGCGUGCAUCUACUACUAUUACUCCACACAUCGACCGCUAUCCAGCAUGCAUCUAGAGUAUUAAGUUCAUAAGAACAGAGUAAUGCUUUAAGCAAGAUGACAUGAUGUAGAGGGAUAAACUCAUGCAAUAUGAUAUAAACCCCAUCUUGUUAUCCUCGAUGGCAACAAUACAAUACGUGCCUUGCUGCCCCUACUGUCACUGGGAAAAGACACCGCAAGAUUGAACCCAAAGCUAAGCGCUUCUCCCAUUGCAAGAAAGAUCACUCUAGUAGGCCAAACCAAACUGAUAAUUUGAAGAGACUUGCAAAGAUAACCAAUCAUACAUAAAAGAAUUCAGAAUAUUCAAAUAUUGUUCAUAGAUAAACUUGAUCAUAAACCCACAAUUCAUCGGUCUCAACAAACACACUGCAAAAGAAGAUUACAUCGAAUAGAUCUCCACAAGAGAGGGGGAGAACAUUGUAUUGAGAUCCAAAAAGAGAGAAGAGGCCAUCUAGCUAAUAACUAUGGACCCGAAGGUCUGAGGUAAACUACUCACACAUCAUUGGAGAGGCUAUGGUGUUGAUGUAGAAGCCCUCCGUGAUCGAUGCCCCCUCCGGCGGAGCUCCGGAACAGGCCCCAAGAUGGGAUCUCAUGGGUACAGAAGGUUGCGGCGGUGGAAUUAGGUUUUUGGCUCCGUAUCUGGUAGUUUGGGGGUACGUAGGAAUAUAUAGGAGGAAGGAGUACGUCGGUGGAGCAACAGGGGGCCCACGAGGGUGGAGGGCGCGCCCAAGGGGUAGGCGCGCCCCCCUACCUCGUGGCCUCCUGGUUGAUGCCUUGACGUAGGGUCCAAGUCCUAUGGAUCACGUUCGUUCCGAAAAUCACGUUCCCGAAGGUUUCAUUCCGUUUGGACUCCGUUUGAUAUUCUUUUUCUGCGAAACUCUGAAAUAGGCAAAAAACAACAAUUCUGGGCUGGGCCUCCGGUUAAUAGGUUAGUCCCAAAAAUAAUAUAAAAGUGUAUAAUAAAGCCCAAUAAUGUCCAAAACAGAAUAUAAUAUAGCAUGGAACAAUAAAAAAUUAUAGAUACUUUGGAGACGUAUCAAGCAUCCCCAAGCUUAAUUCCUGCUCGUCCUCGAGUAGGUAAAUGAUAAAAACAGAAUUUUUGAUGUGUAAUGCUACUUGGCAUAAUUUCAAUGUAAUUCUUCUUAAUUGUGGUAUGAAUAUUCAGAUCCGAAAGAUUCAAGACAAAAGUUUAAUAUUGACAUAGAAAUAAUAAUACUUCAAGCAUACUAACUAAGCAAUUAUGUCUUCUCAAAAUAACAUGGCCAAAGAAAGUUAUCCCUACAAAAUCAUAUAGUCUGGCUAUGCUCUAUCUUCACCACACAAAAUAUUUAAAUCAUGCACAACCCCGAUGAAAAGCCAAGCAAUUGUUUCAUACUUUUGACAUUCUCAAACUUUUUCAAUCUUCACGCAAUACAUGAGCGUGAGCCAUGGACUUAGCACUAUAUGUGGAAUAGGAUGGUGGUUGUGGAGAAGACAAAAAAAAGAGAAGAUAGUCUCACAUCAACUAGGCGUAUCAACGGGCUAUGGAGAUGGCCAUCAAUAGAUAUCAAUGUGAGUGAGUAGGGAUUUCCAUGCAACGGAUGCACUAGAGCUAUAAGUAUAUGAAAGCUCAACAAAAGAAACUAAGUGGGUGUGCAUCCAACUCGCUUGCUCACGAAGACCUAGGGCAUUUUUGAGGAAGCCCAUCAUUGGAAUAUACAAGCCAAGUUCUAUAAUGAAAAAUUCCCACUAGUAUAUGAAAGUGAUAUCAUAAGAGACUCUCUAUCAUGAAGAUCAUGGUGCUACUUUGAAGCACAAGUGUGGUAAAAGGAUAGUAACAUUGUCCCUUCUCUCUUUUUCUCUCAUUUUUUUAUUUGGGCCUUUUUUCUCUCUUUUUUAUGGCCUCUUUUUAUUUUAUUUUUUAGUCCGGAGUCUCAUCCCGACUUGUGGGGGAAUCAUAGUCUCCAUCAUCCUUUCCUCACUUGGGACAAUGCUCUAAAAAUGAUGAUCAUCACACUUUUAUUUUCUUACAACUCAACAAUUACAACUCAAUACUUAGAACAAAAUAUGACUCUAUGUGAAUGCCUCCGGCGGUGUACAGGGAUAUGCAAUGAAUCAAGAGUGACAUGUAUGAAAGAAUUAUAAACGGUGGCUUUGCCACAAAUACGAUGUCAACUACAUGAUCAUGCGAAGCAAUAUGACAAUGAUGGAGCGUGUCAUAAUAAACAGAACGGUGGUAAGUUGCAUGGAAAUAUAUCUCGGAAUGGCUAUGGAAAUGCCAUGAUAGGUAGGUAUGGUGGCUGUUUCGAGGAAGGUAUAUGGUGGGUGUAUGAUACCGGUGAAAGGUGUGCGGUAUUAGAGAGGCUAGCAAUGGUGGAAGGAGGAAAAGUGCGUAUAAUCCAUGGACUCAACAUUAGUCAUAAAGAACUCAUACACUUAUUGCAAAAAUCUACAAGUUAUCAAAGCAAAGUAUUAUGCGCAUGCUCCUAGGGGGAUAGAUUGGUAGGAAAAGACCAUCGCUCGUCCCCAACCGCCACUCAUAAGGAAGACAAUCAAUAAAUAAAUCAUGCUCCGACUUCAUCACAUAACGGUUCACCUUACGUGCAUGCUACGGGAAUCACAAACUUUAACACAAGUAUUUCUCAAAUUCACAACCACUCAACUAGCAUGACUCUAAUAUCAUCAUCUCCAUAUCUCAAAACAAUUAUCAAGCAUCAAACUUCUCAUAGUAUUCAACACACUCAUAAGAAUUUUUCUUUUUCUCUUUACUAAUCUUGAAUGCCUAUUAUUGUUAAAGCAAACUACCAUGCUGUUUUGUAGGACUCUCAAAAUAAUCUAAUUGAAGCAUGAGAGAACAAUAGUUUCUAUAAAACAAAGUCACCACCGUGCUCUAAAAGAUAUAAGUGAAGCACUAGAGCAAAAACUAUAUAACUCAAAAGAUAUAAGUGAAGCACAUAGAGUAUUCUAAUAAUUUCCGAAUCAUGUGUGUCUCUCUCAAAAGGUGUGUACAACAAGGAUGAUUGUGGUAAACUAAAAAGCAAAGACUCAAAUAUAAAAGACGCUCCAAGCAAAACACAUAUCAUGUGGUGAAUAAAAAUAUAGCUCCAAGUAAAGUUACCGAUGGAAGUAGACGAAAGAGGGGAUGCCUUCCGGGGCAUCCCCAAGCUUUGGCUUUUAGGUGUCCUUAGAUUAUCUUGGGGUGCCAUGGGCAUCCCCAAGCUUAGGCUCUUGCCACUCCUUGUUCCAUAAUCCAUCAAAUCUUUCACCCAAAACUUGAAAACUUCACAACACAAAACUUAACAGAAAAUCUCGUGAGCUCUGUUAGCGAAAGAAAACAUAAGACCACUUCAAGGUACUGUAAUGAACUCAUUCUUUAUUUAUAUUGGUGUUAAACCUACUGUAUUCCAAUAUCUCUAUGGUUUAUAAACUAUUUUACUAGCCAUAGAUGCAUCAAAAUAAGCAAACAACACACGAAAAACAGAAUCUAUGAAAAACAGAACAGUCUGUAGUAAUCUGUAACUAACGCAAACUUCUGGAACUCCAAAAUAUCAUCCAAAAUAGGACGACCUAGACAAUUUGUUUAUUGAUCAGCAGCAAUUGGAAUCAAUAUUUUAUCACGUUCUGAUGAUUUUUAACAAUUGUUUUCGUGAACAGAAAGUUUCUGGAAUUUACAGCAAGAUCAAAUAAUUAUCAUCCAAGAAGAUCCUAUAGGUUUAACUUGGCACAAACACUAAUUAAAACAUAAAAAGACAUCUAACCAGAGGCUAGAUCAAAGAUUUAUUCCUAAACAGAAGCAAAAAGCAAAAAACUAAAAAUAAAAUUGGGUUGCCUCCCAACAAGCGCUAUCAUUUAACGCCCCUAGCUAGGCAUAAAAGCAAGGAUAGAUCUAGGUAUUGCCAUCUUUGGUAGGCAAUCCAUAAGUGGCUCUCAUAAUAGAUUCAUAAUGUAGUUUUAUUUUCUUUCUAGGGAAGUGUUCCAUGCCUUUCCUUAACGGAAAUUGGAAUCUAAUAUUCCCUUCCUUCAUAUCAAUAAUUGCACCAAUCGUUCUAAGGAAAGGUCUACCAAUAAUAAUAGGACAUGAAGGAUUGCAAUCUAUAUCAAGAACAAUAAAAUUGACGGGCACAUAAUUCCUAUUUGCAACAAUAAGAACAUCAUUAAUUCUUCCCAUAGGUUUCUUAAUAGUGGAAUCUGCAAGGUGCAAGUUUAGGGAGCAAUCAUCAAAAUCACAGAAACCUAAUAAAUCACAUAAAGUUUUUGGAAUCGUGGAAACACUAGCACCCAAAUCACACAAAACAUAGCAUUCAUGAUCUUUAAUUCUAAUUUUAAUAGUAGGUUCCCACUCAUCAUAAAGUUUUCUAGGGAUAGAAACUUCCAACUCAAGUUUUUCUUCAUAAGAUUGCAUCAAAGCAUUAACGAUAUGUUUAGUAAAAGCUUUAUUUUGACUAUAAGCAUGAGGAGAAUUUAGCACGGAUUGCAACAAAGAAAUACAAUCUAUCAAAGAACAAUUGUCAUAAUUAAAUUCCUUGAAAUCCAAAAUAGUGGGUUCAUUAAUAUCUAAUGUUUUGAUCUCUUCAAUCCCACUUUUAUCAAUUUUAGCAUCAAGAUCUAAAAACUCCGAAAUUUUGGAACGCCUUCUAGGUAAGGGUGGAUCAUAUUCAGUCCCAUCAUUAUCAAGAUUCAUAUUAAAAAACAAAGAUUUAAUAGGGGACACAUCAAUAACUUUUAGAUCUUCAUCUUUAUUUUCAUCAAAAAUUGAAGAACACGCUUUCACAAAGCAAUCUUUCUUAGCGCGCAUCCUAGCGGUCCUUUCUUUGCACUCAUCAAUGGAAAUUCUCAUGGAUUUGAGAGACUCAUUGAUAUCGUGCUUAGGAGGAAUAGAUCUAAGCUUUAAAGAAUCAACAUCAAGAGAAAUUCUAUCAAAGUUCCUAGCCAAUUCAUCCACUUUAAGCAAUUUUUCUUCAAGCAAAGCAUUGAAAUUCUUUUGCGAAUUCAUAAAUUCCUUAACACUAGUCUCAAAUUCAGAAGGCAUCUUAUUAAAGUUUCCAUAAGAAUUGUUGUAGGAAUUACCAUAAUUAUUAGAGGAAUUACUAGGAUAAGGCCUAGGAUUGAAGUUUCCUCUAUACGCGUUGUUACCAAAAUUAUUCCUACAACCAAAAUUCACAUACAUAGAUUCAUUAUUAUUCUCAAUCAAAGUAGACAAAGGCAUAUCAUUGGGAUCAGAAGAAACACUCUUAUUAGCAAAUAAUUUCAUAAGUUCAUCCAUCUUUCCACUCAAAACAUUAAUAUCUUCUAUCGCAUGCACUUUUUUAUUAGUAGAUCUUUCAGUGUGCCAUUGAGAAUAAUUAACCAUAAUAUUAUCUAGGAGUUUAGUAGCUUCUCCUAAAGUGAUUUCCAUAAAAGUGCCUCCCGCGGCCGAAUCUAAAAGGUUUCUAGAAGCAAAAUUCAAUCCGGCAUAAUUUUUUUGUAUAAUCAUCCACAAAUUCAAACCAUGCGUAGGGCAAUUACGUAUCAUUAAUUUCAUCCUCUCCCAAGCUUGUGCAACAUGUUCAUGAUCAAGUUGCUUAAAAAUCAUAAUAUCGUUUCUAAGGGAGAUGAUCUUAGCGGGAGGAAAAUACUUAGAGAUAAAAGCAUCUUUGCACUUAUUCCAAGAAUCAAUACUAUUUUUAGGCAAAGACAAAAACCAAGCUUUAGCAUGAUCUCUAAGAGAAAAAGGAAAUAGCUUCAAUUUAACAAUAUCAUUAUCCACAUCUUUCUUCUUUUGCAUAUCACACAAAUCAACGGAGCUAUUUAGAUGGGUAGCGGCAUCUUCACUAGGAAGGUCGGCGAAUUGAUCUUUCAUGACAAGAUUCAAUAAAGCAGCAUUGAUUUCACAAGAUUCAGUAUUGGUAAGAGGAGCAAUCGGAGUGCUAAGGAAAUCAUUGUUGUUGGUAUUGGUAAAGUCACACAAUUUGGUAUUAUCUUGAGCCAUCGUGACAAGCAAGCAAUCCAACACACGAGCAACCAAGAGACGGGCAAAAAGAGGCAAACGGAAAAGAGAGAGGGCGAAUAAAACGGCAAGGGUGAAGUGGGGGAGAGGAAAACGAGAGGCAAAUGGCAAAUAAUGUAAUGCGGGAGAUAAGGGUUUGUGAUGGGUACUUGGUAUGUUGACUUUUGCGUAGACUCCCUGGCAACGGCACCAGAAAUGGCUUGUUGUCGGGAGUCCAAAUCUUGACUUGACCUUGCGUAAGCCUCCCCGGCAAUGGCUCCACAAAUCCUUCUUGCUACCUCUUGAGCACUGCGUUGGUUUUCCCUUGAAGAGGAAAGGGUGAUGCAGCAAAGUAGCGUAAGUAUUUCCCUCAGUUUUUGAGAACCAAGGUAUCAAUCCAGUAGGAGGCCACGCACGAGUCCCUCGCACCUACACAAACAAAUAAAUCCUCGCGACCAACACGAUAAGGGGUUGUCAAUCCCUACACGGUCACUUACGAGAGUGAGAUCUGAUAGAUAUGAUAAGAUAAUAUUUUUGGUAUUUUUAUGAUAAAGAUGCAAAGUAAAGAAAGUAAAAUAAAAACGGCAAUGGAAAUAGCUUGUUGUCGGGAGAUUAAUAUGAUGGAAAAUAGACCCGGGGGCCAUAGGUUUCACUAGUGGCUUCUCUCAAGAGCAUAAGUAUUUUACGGUGGGUGAACAAAUUACUGUUGAGCAGUUGACAGAAUUGAGCAUAGUUAUGAGAACAUCUAGGUAUGAUCAUGUAUAUAGGCAUCACGUCCGAGACAAGUAGACCGACUCCUGCCUGCAUCUACUACUAUUACUCCACACAUCGACCGCUAUCCAGCAUGCAUCUAGAGUAUUAAGUUCAUAAGAACAGAGUAACGCUUUAAGCAAGAUGACAUGAUGUAGAGGGAUAAACUCAUGCAAUAUGAUAUAAACCCCAUCUUGUUAUCCUCGAUGGCAACAAUACAAUACGUGCCUUGCUGCCCCUACUGUCACUGGGAAAGGACACCGCAAGAUUGAACCCAAAGCUAAGCACUUCUCCCAUUGCAAGAAAGAUCAAUCUAGUAGGCCAAACCAAACUGAUAAUUUGAAGAGACUUGCAAAGAUAACCAAUCAUACAUAAAAGAAUUCAGAAGAUUCAAAUAUUGUUCAUAGAUAAACUUGAUCAUAAGCCCACAAUUCAUCGGUCUCAACAAACACACUGCAAAAGAAGAUUACAUCGAAUAGAUCUCCACAAGAGAGGGGGAGAACAUUGUAUUGAGAUACAAAAAGAGAGAAGACGCCAUCUAGCUAAUAACUAUGGACCCGACGGUCUGAGGUAAACUACUCACACAUCAUUGGAGAGGCUAUGGUGUUGAUGUAGAAGCCCUCCGUGAUCGAUGGCCCCUCCGGCGGAGCUCCGGAACAGGCCCCAAGAUGGGGUCUCACGGGUACAGAAGGUUGCGGCGGUGGAAUUAGGUUUUUGGCUCCGUAUCUGGUAGUUUGGGGGUACGCAGGUAUAUAUAGGAGGAAGGAGUACGUCGGUGGAGCAACAGGGGGCCCACGAGGGUGGAGGGCGCGCCUAGGGCGGUAGGCGCCCCCCUACCUCGUGGCCUCCUGGUUGAUGCCUUGACAUAGGGUCCAAGUCCUCUGGAUCACGUUAGUUCCGAAAAUCACAUUCCCGAAGGUUUCAUUCCAUUUGGACUCCAUUUGAUAUUCUUUUUCUGCGAAACUCUGAAAUAGGCAAAAAACAGCAAUUCUGGGCUGGGCCUCCGGUUAAUAGGUUAGUCCCAAAAAUAAUAUAAAAGUGUAUAAUAAAGCCCAAUAAUGUCCAAAACAGAAUAUAAUAUAGCAUGGAACAAUCAAAAAUGAUUGAUACGUUGGAGAAGUAUCAGUCAUCUGGUCAUUCAGCAGCGCUGGGCGCUGCUGCGCUGCGAACUGUGACCAGAAUAGCUUCUCCGUCGUGUGCUCUUCCUGGGCCCGAAAGAAAUGCGCAGCGUCAGCGGCACUCUUCGGAAGAUUCGCAAAGGUGUCUGGAGCACUCCACAAUCGAGUGAGCAACGCAUACUUCUGAUUGUCGAAUUUAGUGUCUAAAAGAAAGGGCUUACCAGCCGCUAUCUGUUCGGCUUGCCGGAUCUCCUCGCGAGCUGCUCGGGAUUCGGUCCGCGCCGCCUUGGCCUCUUGAAGGGUCUUGUCGAGAUCAGUUGCCUGGGCUUUAUUCUUCUCCUCUAGGGACUCGCACUUGCUGGCGGCGUCCUUAAGUGCCUGCUCCACUUCGGUCACCCGCUCCUCGUACUGACGGCGGACGACCUGUUCGGAGUUCAAGUCCGCGGCCGCUUUGUUCAUCCUUGCCUGCUCCUUGGCUUGGGCAAGUUCACCCCUGAGAGUCUCGACCGUAGCAGCACUGCCUGCAACCAUACACAUAGCAACGCCUGAGCUUCGACUCAGAGUAUGCACAUCAAUACAUGCAUGAACGAGAUAUUCGAAACAUACCUUGCGCUUCAUCAAACCUCUUGUUGAUGCGGAAGAGAUCCUCAUCGGCCAGCCCCAGCUUCCGCUUGAGCUCGGAUACUUCGGCGGCCUGGGCGGUUGCCGCUAACAGUGAAGCAUGUUUGUCAAAACAGAAAGGUACAUUAUCCCCUGCGAAUAUUAUCGAUCCUCUGUCCGGCCUUUUUUUCAAAAUCCGAACAGAGUCUCAGGGACUACUAUCUAUAUACAGGCAUAUUUUUAUAUGAAAAGUGGCCAAGAAUAUUACAUCACCUACCUCGAAGCCUGUUAGCAGGCUAGUGAAGGCUUCGUUCAGCCCGCUCUUGGCAGACCGAACCUUCUCAACCACCACACCCAUCAGGGUGCGGUGCUCCUCCAAGAUGGAAGCACAUUGCAGUGCCUCCAUCAGUGUGUUCGGCGCCUCCGGAUUAGUGGAGGUCGCCGCUGGAGUUGGCGCUCCCCCUCCCUUAAGGGGGUCGCUUAUUCGGUUCCGGAGCCACUUGGGUUUCCGGAACAGAGUUCGGCUGGGGGCCGAACUGGUCAAGACCCCCACUGUCAGUCUCCAUGGGGAUUGCAUCCCCCAUGUUCUCGGCAGUCGAGGCAUUACCCUCCGGCGCUAUUUUGGCGGCCUCCCGUACCGCUCCGUGGCCCGGAGAAGCCCUUCGGGACAACACUUCGGUGUCGUCCGCGGCGGUUGGCGGGGAGGUUCGCGGAGGCGAUUCGCUCUCCAUCAUCCCCAGAUCCAAAGAAUUCCCCUCCGAUAAUGAUUGUUGGGGGAGAUCGCGGGCCGGACUACACCAUGCAAUGCGUUAAUACCAUAAUCAUAAAGGCCGAACUUAUGUAAGGCAUCCUCGGAUACUUACGAUGCGGCGAGGGGAUUCGACCUGGGGCGCCACUCUGGGAUGGCUUCGACGUCCAAAUCUGAGUACCUUUGCGGCGGAGGCCAUCUUUGGCCUCCUUGUUCUUCUUCUUGGCCUUUUUCUCCGGCGCCUGAUAGGGCGCCGGGACCAGCAUCCUCAUUAGAAGAGGAUCAACUGGGUUUUCGGGCAGUGGAGCUGGACAUCUAAUCCGCUCCGCCUUCUUUGUCCAGCCCUGUUUAAAGGAUGGAAUUCUCAAUACACUCCUUUGAUUGAUAAACUAAGCUAUGUUCAGAAAUUGAACACUUACCGGAGUGGCUGGAUGAUUGCAGUCGAGGCCCAUGUCCUCGGACGUCUCUGGCCAUGACUUUUGAGUCUUGAAGAGCAGCUUCCAGAUUGCUUCGUGCGUCAUGCUAAAGAAUUGCUUCAGGGUCCGCGGCCCUUCCGGAUUGAACUCCCACAUGCGGAGAGGCCGGCGUUGGCAGGGAAGGGUUCGGCGGAUGAGCAUCACCUAGAUCACGUCAGUGAGGCUAGUGCCAUGUUCUAUGAUAUUUUUGAUGCACUUUUGCAGCAUCAACACCUCGUCGGAUGAUCCCCAGUCCAGACCCUUGUUGGUCCAUGACGCAAGCCGCUGCGGGUGUCCGGAUCUAAAUACAGGAGCGGCCGCCCUCUUGGUGCCACGGGGUUGAGUGAUAUAAAACCACUCCUGCGGCCAUAUCUUGACGGUCUCCACAAAUCCCCUUUGGGCCAGGUAACUUUGGGGAGCUUGCUCACCAUGGCACCGCCACAAUCCGCAUGCUGCCCGUCGACCAUCUUCGGCUUCACAUUGAAGAUCUUGAGCCAUAGGCCAAAGUGUGGGGGGAUGCGGAGGAUUACCUCACACACGACGAUAAGCGCCGAGAUGUGGAGGAAUGAGUUCGGAGCCAGAUCAUGAAAAUCUAGCCCGUAAUAGAACAUGAGACCUGAACGAAGGGGUGGAGAGGAAACCCUAGUCCGCGGAUGAAGUGGGGGAUAAAUACCACUCUUUCGCCGGGCUCCGGAGUGGGGAUGGCCUGCUUCGGGGCCGGGAGCCUGUGCGUGAUCUCCGCAGUUAAGUACCACGCCUUCCGAAGCUCCUUGAUGUUCUUCACCGUAACGGAGGAAGCCACCCACUUGCCUUGAGAGCCGGAUCUGGACAUGGCUUGAGUGUUUAGGUGGCGAUGGAAAGGAUCGAAACUUGGGCGCUGGAGCUCGAGGAUGGGAGGGUAGAGGAAUAAGAAGGCGUGAGGUAAUAAGAUGGGUCCUUAUCCUCUUAUAUAAAGGCAGCGAAUAUCAAGCGCCCCCUCAUAGGCCUUAAAACUCGCCUAUUCCCAAGGGGUCGUGCGGACGGCACGGUUGGAAUACCCAAACCGGUAUUGAUGAGAAUCCCGCAAUAAGGGGACACGAUCUCUGCUUUGACAAGACGUGCCAAUGAAGUCCGCGCCUUGAAACGCGAAGCGGGAGGCUAAAAACGAUUCAAAAUAAUAAUAAGGCCAGGCAUGACGUCUCGCCGAAAAAGCUGUCAGUGGACAUGACUUAUUUUGUUUAAGUAUUUCGCCUUUGUGGUUCAGGGUUGUAACUGUUAUCCAGAGUCGGAUAUAGUUCUCUUGUUCAAGUGCUUUGAAGUAUUCGGAGGAGGAACCCGCCUUGCAAUGCCGAAGAUAAUCUGCGCGCUGGACACAUCGUCAUUGAAGCCUGGUUCAGGGGCUAUUGAGGGAGUCCUGGAUUAGGGGGUCCCCGGGCGUCCGGGCUAUGUGACAUGGGCCGGACUGGUGGGCCGUGAAGAUACAAGAUAGAAGGCCUUCCCCCGUGUCCGGAUGGGACUCUCCUUUGCGUCGAUGGCAAGCUUGGCGUUCGGAUGUAUAGUCUCCUUCCUCUGUAAACCGACUUUGUACAACCCUAGGCCCCUCCGGUCGGUUUUGACACUGACACGUAUCUAUAAUUUUUUAUUGUUCCAUGCUGUUAUAUUAUCAACCUUGGAUGUUUUAUAAUCAUUUUAUUGUCAUUUUAUAUCAUUUUUUGGUACUAACCUAUUGACAUAGUACCAAGUGCCAGUUGCUGUUUUCUGCAUGUUUUUUACAUCGCAGGAAAUUGAUACGUCUUCGUCGUAUAUACUUUUCCAAACACUUUUGCCCUUGUUUUGGACUCUAACUUGCAUGAUUUGCAUGGAACUAACCUGGACUGACGCUGUUUUCAGCAGAAUUGCCAUGGUGUUAUUUUUGUGCAGAAACAAAAGUUCUCGGAAUGACCUGAAAAUCAACGGAGAUUUAUUUUGGAAAAUAUAAAAAAUACUCGCGAAAGAAUCAAGGCCAGGGGGCCACACCCUCUCCACGAGGGUGGGGGCGCGCCCCCUGCCUCGUGGGCCCCCUGGAGCUCCACCGACCUCAACUCCAACUCCAUACAUUCGUGUUCGGGGAGAAAAAAAUCAGAGAGAAGGAUUCAUCGCGUUUUACGAUACGGAGCCGCCGCCAAGCCCUAAACUCUCUCGGGAGGGCUGAUCUGGAGUCCGUUCGGGGCUCCGGAGAGGGGAAUCCGUCGCCAUCGUCAUCAUCAACCAUCCUCCAUCCAAUUUCAUGAUGCUCACCGCUGUGCGUGAGUAAUUCCAUCGUAGGCUUGCUAGACGGUGAUGGGUUGGAUGAGAUUUAUCAUGUAAUCGAGUUAGUUUUGUUAGGGUUUGAUCCCUAGUAUCCACUAUGUUCUGAGAUUGAUGUUGCUAUGACUUUGCUAUGCUUAAUGCUUGUCACUAGGGCCCAAGUGCCAUGAUGUCAGAUCUGAACCUAUUAUGUUUUCAUGAAUAUAUGCGAGUUCUUGAUCCUAUCUUGCAAGUCUAUAGUCACCUACUAUGUGUUAUAAUCCGGCAACCCCGAAGUGACAAUAAUCUGGACCACUCCCGGUGAUGACCACAGUUUGAGGAGUUCAUGUAUUCACUAUGUGUUAAUGCUUUGGUCCGGUACUCUAUUAAAAGGAGGCCUUAAUAUCCCUUAGUUUCCAUUAGGACCCCGCUACCACGGGAGGGUAGGACAAAAGAUGUCAUGCAAGUUCUUUUCCAUAAGGACGUAUGACUAUAUUCGGAAUACAUGCCUACAUUACAUUGAUGAAUUGGAGCUAGUUCUAUGUCACCCUAUGUUAUGACUGUUACAUGAUGAACCGCAUCAGGCAUAAUUCUCCAUCACCGAUCCAAUGCCUAUGAGCUUUUCACAUAUUGUUUUCCUCUUAUUUACUUUUCCGUUGCUACUGUUACAAUCACUACAAAACCCAAAAAUAUUACUUUUGCUACCGCUACCGUUACUUCCAUACUACUUUGCUACUAAAUACUUUGCUGUAGAUAUUAAGUUAUCCAGGUGUGGCUGAAUUGACAACUCAGUUGCUAAUACUUGAGAAUAUUCUUUGGCUCCCCUUGUGUCGAGUCAAUAAAUUUGGGUUGAAUACUCUACCCUCAAAAACUAUUGCGAUCCCCUAUACUUGUGGGUUAUCAAGACUAUUUUCUGGCGCCGUUGCCGGGGACCAUAGCUCUAUUCUUUGAGUCACUUGGGAUUUAUAUCUGCUGGUCACUAUGAGGAACUUGCAAGACGAGAAAACCAAAAUUUAUCCCUCAACUACGAGGGGAGGUAAGGAACUGCCAUCUAGCUCUGCACUUGAUUCACCUUCUGUUUUUAGUAAGCUUGCGAUGCCUAAAACUGCUUCUGCUAUUAAUUCUGAUAUGUCGCAUGUUAUUGAUGAUGCCACUUCUGCUAUGCAUAAUACUUAUGAUGAAACUACUUCUAUGCUUGAUACUACUGUGCCACUUGGUGAAUUUCUUGAUGAACAACUUGCUAGGGCUAGAGAGAAUGAAAUUAUUGAAACUGAUAAUAUUGAUGAAAGUGAUGAUGAAGACUCUCCCCUAGAUAUGAAUUACCUGUUGUGCCUGGAGGCUAUGUUAUGGAUGAAGAAACUGCUAGAGACUUUCUUGCUUGCAAUGAUAGAAGUGAUCUUAAGAAAUUAUUAGCUAAGCUGAAACAAAAAACUCUGAAUGCUAGAAUGAAAUAUGAUCCUGCUUAUGCUACUUCACCUAUCUUUGUUACUGAUAAGGAUUAUGAAUUCUCGGUCGACCCUGAUAUAAUUACUUUGGUUGAAUCUGAUCCCUUCUAUGGCUAUGAAUCUGAAACUGUUGUGGCACAUCUUACUAAAUUAAAUGAUAUAGCCACCCUGUUCACUAAUGAUGAGAAAACUCGCUAUUACUAUAUCCUUAAAAUAUUUCUGUUCUCAUUAAAGGGUGAUGCUAAGAUAUGGUUUAAUUCUGUUAACCCGGAUUGUGUGCGUAGCCCCCAGGAUAUGACUCUGCUAAAUAUUUCCCUUCUCAUAAGAAACAAGCUGCUUUAAGGGAAAUAUAUAAUUUUGUGCAAAUUGAAGAAGAGAGUCUCCCACAAGCUUGGGGGAGGCUUCUCCAAUUACUUAAUGCUUUGCCUGAUCAUCCUCUUAAGAAAAAUGAAAUACUUGAUAUCUUUUAUAAUGGACUAACCGAUGCUUCGAGAGACCACCUGGAUAGUUGUGCUGGUUCUGUUUUCAGGGAAAGAACACCAGAUGAAGCUGAAAUUCUAUUGAAUAAUAUGUUGACUAAUGAAAAUAAUUGGACACUUCCUGAACCAACUCCUAAGCCAACUCCGAAGAAAAUGGGUGUUCUAUUCCUCAGUCCUGAGGAUAUGCAAGAGGCAAAGAAAUCUAUGAAAGAAAAGGGUAUAAAAGCUGAAGAUGUUAAGAAUCUACCUCCUAUUGAAGAAAUACAUGGUCUUAAUUUACCGCCUGUUGAAGAAAUACAUGGUUUUAAUCCAUCACCUAUUGAAGAGAUUCAUGGUCUUGAUAACCCGACACAGGUAGUAAAGGUAAAUUCUCUCUAUAGAUAUGAUAAAGCUGAAAUCCCUCCUAUUAAGUUUGCUAGCCAAUGUUUGGACGAGUUUGAUAACUUUAUGGUUAAGCAAGAAGAUUUUAAUGCUUAUUUUGGUAGACAAUGAAAACACAAUGCCUAUAUGAUUGAAAACUUGAGUGAUUAUAUGUCUAGAGUUAAAGGUGAACUUAAACUCAUUAGUAAACAUGCUUCUAUGGUUACCACUCAAGUAGAACAAGUACUUAAAGCUCAGAAUGAUUUGCUCAAUGAAUUAAAUAGUAAGAAUAAUGAUUUUGCUAUUAGAGUGGCUACUAGAACUGGUAAAAUGACUCAGGAACCUUUGUAUCCUGAAGGCCAUCCUAAGAGAAUUGAGCAAGAUUCUCAGAGAACUAAUGUAGAUGCACCUAGUCCUUCUAAGAAGAAGAAAAAGAAAAAUGAUAGGACUUUGCAUGCUUCUAGUGAACCUGUUGCUGACACACCUGAGAAUCCCAAUGAUAUUUCUAUUUCUGAUGCUGAAACACAAUCUGGUAAUGAACAUAAACCUAAUGAUAAUGUUAAUGAUGAUGUUCAUGUUGAUGCUCAACCUAGUAAUGAUAAUGAUGUAGAAAUUGAACCUGCCGUUGAUCUUGAUAACCCACAAUCAAAGAAUCAACGUUAUGAUAAGAGAGACUUUGUUGCUAGGAAGCACGGUAAAGAAAGAGAACCAUGGGUUCAGAAACCCAUGCCUUUUCCUCCCAACCCAUCCAAGAAAAAGGAUGAUGAGGAUUUUGAGCGCUUUGCUGAAAUGAUUAGACCUAUCUUUUUGCGUAUGCAUUUGACUGAUAUGCUUAAAAUGAAUCCUUAUGCUAACUAUAUGAAAGAUAUUUUUUCAAAUAAAAGAAAGAUACCGAAAGCUAAAAUUUCCACCAUGCUUGCUAAUUAUACUUUUAAGGGUGGAAUACCUAAGAAGUUAGGAGAUCCAGGAGUACCAACUAUACCAUGCUCCAUUAAAAGAAAUUAUGUUAGAACUGCCUUAUGUGAUCUUGGAGCCGGUGUUAGUGUUAUGCCUCUCUCUUUAUAUCGUAGACUUGAUUUGAAUAAGUUGACACCUACUGAAGUAUCUUUGCAAAUGGCUGAUAAAUCAACUGCUAUACCUGUCGGUAUUUGUGAGGAUGUGCCUGUUGUGGUUGCAAAUGUUACUAUUUUAACAGACUUUGUUAUUGUUGAUAUUCUCGAGGACGAUAGUAUGUCUAUUAUUCUUGGAAGACCCUUUUUGAAUACUGCAGGGGCUGUUAUUGAUUGCAACAAAGGCAAUGUAACUUUUCAUGUUAAUGGCAAUGAGCAUACAGUACACUUUCCGAGGAAACAACCUCAAGUUCAUAGUAUAAACUCUAUUGGAAAAAUUCCAUCGAUUAUUUUUGGAGGUUUUGAAUUUCCUCUACCUACUGUCAAGAAGAAAUAUGAUAUUCUUAUUAUUGGGGACGUGCAUAUCCCCGUUGAGGUAACAUAGUGUUAUUCAAAAUUUCUCCGGUUCCAUGUUAUUCGGAAUGAGUUUGUUAACAAGACUUGAUCAACCUUGUUAGUGGAUUCCUUCUGAUGAGCAUGAGAUGGAUGAAGUUAGAAAGCACAACCUUCUGUACCCUCCUUUUACUUUCUAUUAUUUAGUUGAAAUAAAGUAAAAAUAGUAUUUUUCUGUCUGUUUUCUGAAUUAUCCGUGCAAUAUAAAAAUACCCCGAAAAUAAAAGUUCUCCAAAUGCCCUGAAAUUUAAAUAUGAUUUUUUCUGGAAUAUUUGAGAAUAUCUGGCACUGAGAACACAUCAGGGGGAACUGGCACCUGGCCACGAGGGUACAGGGCGCGCCCACCCCCCUGGGCGCGCCCCCUGCCUCGUGGGCCCACGGUGGCUCCCCUCCACUUAUUCCUGCACCCACACACUUCGUCUUCCUCCCAAAAAAAUCACCAACCAGCUGAAGCAUGAGUUCUAGCUCAUUUUCCUGCGAUUUUCGAUCUCCUUGCUCAAAGCACCUCUCACAAAACUGCUUUGGGGGAUUGUUCCUUGGUAUGUGACUCCUCCAAUGGUCCAAUUAGUUUUUGUUCUAGUGCUUUAUUCAUUGCAAAUUUGUGCUGCCUAGGUGACCAUGUUCUUGAGUUUGCAUGUCAAAUUUAUAUGGUUCCAAGUAGUUCUAAUGCAUGAUAUAGUCUCUAGGCACUGGUGGGAGUAGUUGCUAUCAUUUUGCUGAGUUUGGUUCACUCUUAUUUGAAGUUACUUAAUUUUUUAGAAAUUUUUCAGAGGAAGAAAUAUUUUUAAGAAAAUGUACGAAGGUGGCCCUUCAAGGAAGUAAUGACCCAGGCUCGCAAUGCGCGAUGCCGACGAUGAACCACCAAGGGACGCUCAAGUGCGGGCUUGUGAAUGGCCUUCAGAGGACUUCAUGGAUCGAGCAGGAAUCAAGGAAGAAUAUAACGCAUAUGUGCGUAACGCUGAUAUUGUGAGCUUCGAGGCAGAUAAGUGCCGUCAGCAUUACUAUCUCACUGAUUCCUUUGUGAGGAAGUUUGAAUUUUCAUCAUCACGUAAUUCUCAAACUGUCUUGUUUGAUCUCUAUAAAAUUCUUACACUAUGGACUUAGAGGAUUUUACCACUGCUUGCAAACUUCCACAAUGGGGUAGCACUAGUGAGCCUCGCAAAUCUGAGUUUAGAGACUUUCUCGCUAGUAUAACUGUGGGGGAAUCUAGAGACAUAACACAAGCUACCAUAGGGAGCAUUCAUUUUCCUGCUAUACAUUAUUUUGCUCUCUUCAUAGGUAGGUGCAUAAAUGGUAAGGAUGAAGCAUGUCAUAUAUGUGUCCCUGACCUCAGUGUUCUCAGGGGUGCUGUACUAGGAGAUAAACAUUAUAAUUUGGGAGCCAUUGUUGCACGUAGGUUGCAUAACAAUAGAUUUAAUGGAGAUUUCUUUGGUGGAAUUUAUGCAAUCCGUUUAGCUAAUUUUCUUGAUAUACCCAUACGUGAGGAUGAUAUUGAGUUGCCUCCUGCUUAUUUAGAUUAUGAGGCUAUGGUUCGUCAUCGUUUUGUUGAGAGGAACGAUCAGUUCCUCCAGUACCGACUAAUCUUUGACAGACGACGCACCUAUCACGUCGCUCUCCCUGCUUCUACCUUCUUUGACUUCAGGAAAAGGGGAGAUAUUUCAUAACCAGGGAGGAGGGGAACAAGUACGAGAGGAGGGCUGAGAUAGCUCGCCUCCAAGCUGCAGCCCACAAUGCAAUAACUGCUGCAUCUCAGUACGACCCCAACUACAAAUUUGGAUAUCCGCCAGGCCAACCGUGGCAAUAGACCAACUUAGGCCAAAAGCCUAAGCUUGGGGGAGUACGUAUUUCUCACCGACAUUACAUUCAUAUUCACACACUCAUGCUAGUUGUCGGUGUUCAUACUUUUUCACUGUAAUAUCCAUGCUAGUUUAUUUUCCUUUUUUAUGCUUUCUUCUUGUGUGUUUGAAAAACCUUAAGAAAAACCAAAAAAUUAGUAGUAGCCUUUAGCUAGUUUACUUUUCUUGCUAUAGUAGUAGUAAUUAAAAAGAAAACCCAAAAAUAUUUCCUGUUCUUCUUUUGCUUGUUGGGAUCUUUCCCAUGUAAAUAGUUUUAUUUUAUUUUCUUUUCCUUGGGGGUCGAUAGGAGAAGACCAUAAUGAAAUUAUUGAAGUGGAUCUUAUAUGCAUUAUUGUUGAUUUAACCAAGAGCCCAUAUUGCCUUGUCUUCUCCUUUGUAUUAAAUGCUUGCAGAUUCCAGCUUAGUCCAAUGCACGUGCACUAUUAUUAUUAUUCACAUCGUUCGGUCGUGCAAGUGAAAGGCAAUAAUGACGAUAUAUGAUGAAUUGAUUGAGAUGAGAAAAGCUGGUAUGAACUCGACCUCUCUUGUUUUUGUAAAUAUGAUUAGUUCAUCGUUCCUGAUUCAACUUUUUAUGAAUAAACAUGUUUGCAAUGACAAUUAGAGAUCAUAGUUGCUCGUGCCAUGCUUGAUUAGCUAUGAGUUUAUAAUGGUUUACCUUGCGUGCCAACAUGCUAUUAAAAUGGUUGUGAUGUGGUAUGAUGGGGUGGUAUCCUCCUUUGAAUGAUUUAAGUGACUUGACUUGGCACAUGUUCACACAUGUAGUUGAAACAAAUCAACAUAGCCUUCACGAUAUUUAUGUUCAUGGUGGAUUAUAUCCUACUCAUGCUUGCACUCAAUGUUCAUUAAUUUUAAUGCAUGUUCAUGACUGUUGUCACUCUCUAGUUGGUCGCUUCCCAGUCUUUUUCUAGCCUUCACAUGUACUAAGCGGGAAUACUGCUUGUGCAUCCAAUCCCUUAAACCCCGAAGUUAUUCCAUACGAGUCCACCAUACCUUCCUAUAUACGGUAUCUACCUGCCGUUCCAAGUAAAUUUGUAUGUGCCAAACUCUAAACCUUCAAAUGAAAUUCUGUUUUGUAUGCUCGAAUAGCUCAUGUAUCAACUAGGGCUGUCCGUAUCUUCCAUGUUAGGCGGGUUAUUCUCAAGAGGAGUGGACUACGCUCCUCACUCACGAGAAAAUGGCUGGUCACCGGGAUGCCCAGUCCCAUGCUUUAUGCAAAUCAAAUCAAAAUAGUUGCAAACAAAACUCCCCCGGGACUGUUGUUAGUUGGUGUAGCGACCAGACCUCAAACAUUCUAGUCUCUGUGCAUCAGUGUCAUCCCUGGAUCGGUAAUGCUGACACGCACAGUACUUGAAGGAUUUAUAACAGAGUAGCAAUCACACCCUUAUUACAUCGAAUAGUCUCAAGAGAGAACUUAUUACAAUAAAUAUGGCUUAAGGCCAUCUAAAUACGAUAACAGCGGAAGCCUUGGAAGAUAAAGUGAGUCCAUCAACUCCAACAGCAUCACUGAGUAUAAGACCACGACCUAAGGCUCCUUACUCGUCGUCUGAAAAGUCUGCAACAUGAACGUUGCAGCCCAAAAACGGGUCAGCACAUGGAAUAUGCUCGCAAAGUAACACAUAGAGAGUAAUUCACAGAAUAAUGCUAUCACUACAUGCACAUAUGGCUGGUGGAAAGCUCUAUGGUUACAGUUUGCGAAAAGCCAAUUUUUUCCUACAACAAAGGAAUAAAUUUUAUUUAACUAUCAUGGUGGUUGUUAAACAUUGAGAAGGUACCUCCAACUCAAUCCCAAUUAAGAACGUGAUUAACCCAAUCAAAUUAAAUUAAGUAACAUGAUGAUGAGAUUCACAUGAAAAUCCAAGAACUAGAUACUCAAGAUGUCCAUAACCGGGGACACGGCUAACCAUGAUUAGUUUGUACACUCUACAGAGGUUUGCGCACUUUUCCCCACAAGACUCGAUCUCCUCCGUUUGAUUUCUCGCACUACAUGGUGUUUGAGAAACGGAUGACCGAGACACAGUCUUUCAGAAACAAUAACUCUUUACUCCGGGUGGACAGUUACACCUACUUUCCCCUACAUCUGCUAGCCCACCUCUUCAAGAGGUCAUGUAACCUACUCAACUAUGCUAGAGCCCAUAAUAGCUUGUGGCUGCACACGGAAGUUUCUAGCAUGAAUAAUCUCAUGAUCCCUUUGAGCCUGGGUGGCGGUCCAUAGGAUAAUCUCAUGGGUACUCCGGGAUAUCCAAAAAUACAGGCAACACUGGGUUCCCCAGGUGCCUCAAUCCACCCAGAUGUGAAUUAAAGUAACCACCUUAAGUUGAACCAUCAAUUAACAUCCUCACAUCUGUCAUGGAAAUUCACUCAAACCCAAUCCAUGUCUACGAGCAUAGCAUAGCAAUAUAAGCAAACAUAGAAGUAACUCCCAACGGUUUGAUAAUAAACAGGGUAAUAGGUACUACCUCAUCUACUUCCCAAAACCCACAUAUUAAACAGUUCCUAACCAUGCAAUAGUUUGAGGGUUGAUCUAAUGCAAUAAAACUAGGUGGUAAAGAGGUAUGACCAAAGUGUUACUUGCCUUGUUGAUGAUCCGUGAAACCUAGAGACUCGUAGUAGCACGCUUCGCACUCCGCGUACUCUAUCGCAAACAAACAAUACAUACAUAAGCAAUCAAGCAAGGGUGCACAGGUAAAACUCAAAAUAAGAGAUCUAACUAGAAAGUUUAACUUAAGAACUCCGGUUUGCAAAAAGAAUCAAAUCGAACGAAGCAACGAAACUCAAACGGCGAAAGAAACAAUCUCCGUUUACUAAUCUGGACCUAAGUCAAAUUUGACAGUAGCAAAAACUUGUUUAAGUUGCUUAAACAGAAAGAGGGUUUCGAGACGAAACUCUAGGCGCUUGAAUCGCCUGAUUCCGAUAAACGAGCGAAAAGUUAUACUAAAAUGAAAAACAGAUCGGAAAUCGCGAUCGAAAAUAAUUGCAAAAAUUCCGAGAAAAAGAAAAACUGACGAACAGGCUAACGAACGAACGUUUGCUGUCUGCGGCUAAACGACGAAAAUCGUUCAUUAAAACGAACGUACGAACGGGCGUUCGCUAAAUAAACUAAACCGGAAAAAAAGAUCUAAUAAAAAAACACCGCGGUUUUAAAAAAACCGGGCGGUUUUUCCGAAGAAAACCGUCGGCGGCGGGGAGGCUACCUCCGGCGAGGUCCGGCGUCGGGCUCAGGCGGGCGGGGCGGCGGCGGCGGCGGUCGACGAGGCGGGACGAGGCGGCGGCGAUCGGGACGGGCGGCGGCGGGGCGCGGCGUCGGCGGGAUCCGGCGGCGGCGCUAGGGUUUGGCGGGGCUGGGGCGGCUCGGGCGCCUCGGGCUUUAAAGGCCCAGCCGGGUCGGUGUCCCAGGCGGACACGGCCCGGUUAGGUCGGUUCGUUUUUUAAUAGUUUCGUGCAGAAAAACAAUUAAAAGAAAUACUAAACGGACUCCAAAAAUCCCAAAAUAAAUUUUCCCCGUCCUGUAAAAUCAAGCCGGACAAGAUGAACAUUUAUUUGGGCCUAAAAUGCAAUUUUGAAAAACGCAUAUUUUUCCUAAAUUCAAAUAAAAUAGCGAUAAAAUCCAAAAUAAAAUCUUAUUUGAUUUUAUUAUUAAAUCCUCAAUAUUUCUUUAUUUUGGGAAAGUCAUUUUAUUCCCUCCCUCUUAUUUUUAUUAUUGAAAUAAUUGAAGAUAAAAUAAAUAAAAUCAAAUGAUCCUAUUUUCAAAAUUUGAGAAAACCCAAAUAUGAAAACAACGAAAUCCCCAACUCUCUCCGUGGGUCCUUGAGUUGCGUAGAAUUUCUAGGAUCUAGCCAAGAUGCAAAUAAAAAAAUAUGAUAUGCAAUGAUGAUCUAUUGUAUAACAUUCCAAAUUGAAAAUUUGGGAUGUUACAAACCUACCCCCCCCUUAAGAUGAAUCUCGCCCUCGAGAUUCAGGUUGGCUAGAAAAAUAGGUGAGGGUGGUCCUUCCGUAGAUCUUCCUCUCGCUCCCAGGUGGUUUCAUCCUCGGUAUGGUGGCUCCACUGAACUUUGCAAAACUUGAUAACCUUGCUGCGGGUGACUCGGCUGGCAUAUUCCAGAAUCUUGACUGGUUUCUCCUCAUAUGUCAAAUCACUAUCCAGCUGAAUCGCUUCUAGUGGCAGUGUAUCUCUCAGUGGUAUCUCAGCCAUCUCCGCGUGACACUUCUUCAACUGAGAAACGUGGAAGACAUCGUGAACUCCCGACAAUCCUUCGGGCAAUUCCAACUUGUAAGCAACUUCUCCCAUACGCUCCAAAACUUUGUAUGGUCCAAAAAAACGUGGCGCUAACUUUCCCUUAACCCCAAAGCGCUUCACUCCUCGAAGUGGUGAUACUCGAAGAUACACUCUGUCUCCGACUUCGUAGACUGUCUCCUUGAGUUUAGAAUCCGCGUAACUCUUCUGCCUGGACUGGGCUACCUUGAGCCUAUCACGAAUCAACUUCACCUUCUGUUCAGACUCUUUAAUCAAAUAUGGUCCAAACAACUGUCGGUCUCCAACUUCGUCCCACAACAAUGGUGUUCUGCACCUCCUUCCGUACCGCGCUUCGAAAGGGGCCAUCUUCAAACUGGCUUGAUAACUGUUGUUAUAAGAGAACUCUGCAUAAGGCAAAUUGUCGUCCCAACUAGAUCCAUAAUCAAGCGCACAAGCUCUCAGCAUGUCCUCCAAAAUCUGAUUUACUCUUUCAGUCUGUCCAUCUGUUUGCGGGUGAAAAGCUGUACUGAACUCUAGCCUGGUACCCAAAGUUUCGUGCAACUGAUUCCAAAACUUUGAAGUAAACUGGGUUCCUCUAUUUGAUACAAUGGUCCUCGGAACUCCAUGCAGACAUACGAUCCUGGUCAUGUAUAUCUUUGCCAACUUAGCACUGGUGUAAGUGGUCUUCACUGGGAUGAAAUGAGCUACCUUCGUCAAACGAUCGACUGCAACCCAUAUCGAGUCAUAGCCUGAACGAGUCCUGGGCAAUCCCGUGAUAAAAUCCAUGCCUAGCUUAUCCCACUUCCAUUCGGGUAUAGGCAAUGGCUGUAGCAAUCCUGCUGGCUUCUGAUGUUCUGCUUUCACUCCCUGACAUACAUCACAAACUGCUACAUACUCCACAAUAUCCUUCUUCAUUCCGGUCCACCAGAAACUGUCCUUUAAAUCCAGGUACAUCUUUAUAUUUCCUGGGUGAAUUGAAUACGGUGAAUCAUGGGCCUCUUGAAGAAUCAACUUCCUGAUCUCCUGAUCAUUGGGCACAUAUACGCGGUCCUCAAACCAUAAGGUAUCGUGCUCAUCCUCAAGGAAUCCUUUAGCCUUUCCUUUACUCAUCCUUUCCUUUAUCUCGGCAAUCUCCUUGCCCGUCUUCUGAGCUUCUUUGAUCUUAUCCCAUCAAGGUAGACUGAAUUUCCAAGGCUGCUACAUAACCUCUUGGAACUAUCUCCAAACGCAGCUCGCAAAGGUCUUCUGCUAACUCUUGGGUAACUCUCCGGUCAUGAGGGUAUUUACAUGACUCUUGCGGCUCAACGCAUCAGCUACUACGUUAGCCUUUCCUGGGUGAUAAUGCAAUCUCAUAUCAUAAUCCUUAAUGAGCUCUAGCCAUCUCCUCUGUCUAAGAUUCAGCUCCUUCUGCGUGAAAAUGUACUUCAAACUCUUGUGAUCCGUGUACACCUCACAAUGGUUUCCGAUGAGAAAAUGUCUCCAUGUCUUCAACGCAUGCACUACGGCUGCUAACUCCAAAUCAUGUGUAGCAUAAUUUAACUCAUGGGGUUUAAGCUGUCGUGAGGCAUAUGAAACAACUCUUCCCUCCUGCAUAAGUACGGCUCCAAGUCCUCGACGUGAAGCAUCGCAAUGCACUUCAUAAUAUUUGCGUUGAUCUGGUAGAAUCAACACUGGUGAUGUAACCAAGCGUCUUUUCAACUCCUGAAAACUGGCCUCACAUUCCUCAGUUCAAUUGAAUUUGGUGUCCUUCUUCAACAAUUCCGUCAUAGGUUUUGCAAUCUUCGAGAAAUUCUCAAUGAAUCUCCGGUAGUAUCCUGCGAGUCCAAGAAAACUUCGGAUCUCUCCAACUGACGUGGGUGAUUCCCAAUUUGUCACAAUGUUAACCUUGGUGGGAUCUACUGCUAUUCCUUCUCCGGAUAUAACAUGUCCAAUGAAUCCAACUUCCUUUAACCAAAACUCGCACUUGCUGAACUUGGCAUAUAACUGAUGUUCUCUGAGCUUUCCAAGUACCAAACGAAAAUGCUCCUUAUGCUCUUCUUCAUUCUUCGAAUAGACCAGAAUAUCAUCAAUGAACACUAUGACGAACUUAUCCAAAAACUCCAUAAACACUUUGUUCAUCAUGUUCAUGAAAUAGGUAGGUGCGUUAGUCAGGCCAAAUGACAUAACGGUGUACUCAUAUAGCCCAUACCUCGUUGUAAAAGCUGUCUUAGGUAUAUCCUGCUCUCGAAUCUUCAGCUGGUGGUACCCUUAUCGCAGAUCGAUUUUAGAAAACACUUUAGCCCCUUGCAACUGGUCAAAUAAAUCAUUGAUCAUCGGCAGUGGGUACUUGUUCUUGAUUGUUACUUAAUUCAAUCCACGAUAAUCAACAACCAUCCUCAACGAUCCAUCUUUCUUCUCCACUAGAAGUACUGGUGAUCCCCAAGGUGAUGAACUUGGGCGAAUAUAUCCUUUAUCCAGUAAAUCCUUAAUCUGCUUCUUAAUUUCUUCCGAAUCCUUAGCGGGCAUCCUGUACGGUCUCUUAGAUAUCGGCCCUGUGCCUGGCAAAAGCUCAAUCAAAAACUCAAUGUCCCUAUCCGGUGGCCUGCCUGGCAACUCCUCUGGAAAUACGUCAGGGAAAUCCUUCACCAUUGGUACUUCCUCCUGUACAACUCCUGAUAAGGAAUUCACUUGAGUCCUCUUCGGCACAUGCCGGGAUACAUACUUAAUCCUUCUUCCUUCUGGGGUGGUAAGCAAAAUCGACUUACUGGCGCAGUCAAUGUUCCCUCCAUACUUCGAUAGCCAAUCCAUUCCCAAAAUCACAUCCAAACCUUGCGACUCCAAAACUAUUAGGUCUGAGGGGAAAACAUGCCUACCUAUGGCCAAUGGCAUCUGAAAACAUCCUUGGCUUGCCAUAUACUCUGCUCCUGGCAAGGUUACUAACAUAGGUGUUCUAAGAACUUUGGUGGGCAACUUAUACUUAUCCACAAAUCCCCUUAAUAUGUAUGAAUGUGAUGCACCAGUAUCAAAAAGAACGAUUGCAGUAAAUGACUUAACCAAAAACUUACCUAUUACUGCAUCAGGCUGUGCUUCAACCUCCUCCACGUUAACGUGGUUCACCUGUCCCCUGUUGAAAGGGUUCGGCUUCUUCCCCGAGCUUCCAUUGCCAUUUCCAUUCUUAGCUUCCGGACAUUCAGUUGCAUAAUGUCCAGUCUUCUGGCACUUGAAACAAGUAAUGUGGCUCAGAUCCCUCUUGGCUGGGGUUGAUGGGUUGGUACGGUUCUGUCCGUUGCUUCCUCCGUUCCCAUUGCCAUCCUUGGGGCCACUAUGAUUUUGCGAGCUCCCUCCAUUGUGAUUGUGACCUCCGUGGUUAUGCUGAAGGUGUCCUCCCGAGUUCGGGGUAAAACGAGGCUUUUGAUGAGCUCUUGUACUGUACUUUCCUUGUCCAUACUUCCUCUUGAGGCUGUCAAUCUGUUGCUGCUUCCCUUCAAGCAUGAGAGCUCUAUCCACCAACUCCUGGUAGUUAUUGAAAUUUGCCACCAUCAACUGCAUGCUCAGCUCAUCAUUCAGUCCUUCCAGAAACUUCUCUUGCUUAGCUGCAUCCGUAGCAACGUCAUCUGGGGCAUAACAUGCUAACUUACUGAAAUCCUCCACGCAUUGGCCAACGGUACGUCCUCCUUGGCGUAAGUUGCGAAACUCACGCUUCUUCAUGGCCAUAGCUCCUGCUGAAACAUGGGCAGUGCGAAAAGCCUGCUGGAACUGGUCCCAUGUCACAGUGUCAAUAGGGUAAGUGACUAUGAAAUUCUCCCACCAAGAUGCUGCGGGUCCAUCAAGCUGAUGUGCGGCAAAACGCACUCUCUCCGCAUCUGUGCAUCCUGCAGUGGUCAACUCCCUAUCAAUCUUGCGAAGCCAAUCAUCUGCAACAAUCGGCUCGGUGCUACUGGAAAACACCGGCGGAUUCAGCCUCAAUAAACGGGCUAAGUGAUCAACAGGUGGUGGUGGUGGUGGUGGUGGGUUGUUGUUGUCGUUGCCUUGGUUCUGAACUAACACUUGCAUCAGGGCAUUCUGCUACUGAAUCAACUGAGUGAUCUCCGGUGGGAAAACAAAUCCGGUGUCGCGUCUCGGAGGCAUCUGAUGGGUUUAGAAAAGAUGAGAAAAUAGGAUAAAAUGAGAUCUAGAGGGAAAACACUACCCAUAUGCACGUGAGACAAACACAAUCAUAUCACUCCAAUCAAUUCAAACAAGGCAUACAAUCGAUCUAACUAUCGUUACAAAGUGCUUGGACUAUACUAUAUACAUGGUGGAAUACUACUACUAAUAUGGUGGUCGAUUAGAAAAAUUGAUCGGCCAAAGACUCCAUGAUAUCUGCUCUAGCUUCAUCAACAUAGUCAUCAUCUCUAUCGUCAGGGUCCGAGUCGGUGUCGUUGAUGAUGAUAUAGUUAUCCGGGCAAGUGGAACUGUCAUCUUCUCCUCUUGGCGCAGGGUCUCCCAUGAAAACUCCUAGCUUCUUUGUCAGGUCGCCAUUCUUCUCUACUAGUGCGACGAUUUCCUCCAUAUAAUCUUCGCGUGUAGCCUUGAGUUCUUCCUCCAGCUCCGUGAUCCUUGUCAUUGCUUUCUUCAAAUCUAUCAUGCCUGCGCACAUCUGGUUCUCCUGUCGACGAAUGUGCUGGUUUAACUCCUGAAUGAAAGCUGCAAUAGAUCUAUCCUCCCUGGUGCUGAUCUAUCAUUCCAACUCCGAGAUGCUUGCACCAGUCCAUAAAUGGAUCGCUAGUGCACACUUUGUUAGCAUCCUUUUGUAGCGACCAGACCUCAAACAGUCUAGUCUCCGUGCAUCAGUGUCAUCCCUGGAUCGGUAAUGCUGACACGCACGGUACUUGAAGGAUUUAUAACAGAGUAGCAAUCACACCCUUAUUACAUCGAAUAGUCUCAAGAGAGAACUUAUUACAAUAAAUAUGGCUUAAGGCCAUCUAAAUACGAUAACAGCGGAAGGCUUGGAAGAUAAAGUGAGUCCAUCAACUCCAACGGCAUCACUGAGUAUAAGACCACGACCUAAGGCUCGUUACUCGUCGUCUGAAAAGUCUGCAACAUGAACGUUGCAGCCCGAAAAUGGGUCAGCACAUGGAAUAUGCUCGCAAAGUAACACAUAGAGAGUAAUUCACAGAAUAAUGCUAUCACUACAUGCACAUAUGGCUGGUGGAAAGCUCUAUGGUUACAGUUUGCGAAAAGCCAAUUUUUCCCUACAACAAAGGAAUAAAUUUUAUUUAACUAUCAUGGUGGUUGUUAAACAUUGAGAAGGUACCUCCAACUCAAUCCCAAUUAAGAACGUGAUUAACCCAAUCAAAUUAAAUUAAGUAACAUGAUGAUGAGAUUCACAUGAAAAUCCAAGAACUAGAUACUCAAGAUGUCAAUAACCAGGUACACGGCUAACCAUGAUUAGUUUGUACACUCUACAGAGGUUUGCACACUUUUCCCCACAAGACUCGAUCUCCUCCAUUUGAUUUCUCGCACUACAUGGUGUUUGAGAAACGGAUGACCGAGACACAGUCUUUCAGAAACAAUAACUCUUUACUCCGGGUGGACAGUUACACCUACUUUCCCCUACAUCUGCUAGCCCACCUCUUCAAGAGGUCAUGUAACCUACUCAACUAUGCUAGAGCCCAUAAUAGCUUGUGGCUGCACACGGAAGUUUCUAGCAUGAAUAAUCUCAUGAUCCCUUUGAGCCUGGGUGGUGGUCCAUAGGAUAAUCUCAUGGGUACUCCGGGAUAUCCAAAAAUACAGGCAACACUGGGUUCCCCAGGUGCCUCAAUCCACCCAGAUGUGAAUUAAAGUAACCACCUUAAGUUGAACCAUUAAUUAACAUCCUCACAUCUGUCAUGGAAAUUCACUCAAACCCAAUCCACGUCUACGAGCAUAGCAUAGCAAUAUAAGCAAACGUAGAAGUAACUCCCAACGGUUUGAUAAUAAACAGGGCAAUAGGUACUACCUCAUCUACUUCCCAAAACCCACAUAUUAAACAGUUCCUAACCAUGCAAUAGUUUGAGGGUUGAUCUAAUGCAAUAAAACUAGGUGGUAAAGAGGUAUGAUCAAAGUGUUACUUGCCUUGCUGAUGAUCUGUAAAACCUAGAGACUCGUAGUAGCACGCUUCGCACUCCGGGUACUCUAUCGCAAACAAACAAUACAUACAUAAGCAAUCAAGCAAGGGUGCACGGGUAAAACUCAAAAUAAGAGAUCUAACCAGAAAGUUCAACUUAAGAACUCCGGUUUGCAAAAAGAAUCAAAUCGCACGAAGCAACGAAACUCAAACGGCGAAAGAAACAAUCUCUGUUUACUAAUCUGGACCUAAGUCUAAUUUUACAGUAGAAAAAACUUGUUUAAGUUGGUUAAACGGAAAGAGGGUUUCGAGACGAAACUCUAGGCGCUUGAAUCGCCUGAUUCCGAUAAACGAGCGAAAAGUUAUACUAAAACAAAAAUAGAUCGGAAAUCGCGAUCGAAAAUAAUCGCAAAAAUUCCGAGAAAAAGAAAAACUGACGAACAGGCUAACGAAGGAACGUUCGCUGUCUGCGGCUAAACGACAAAAACCGUUCGUUAAAACGAACGUACGAACGGGCGUUCGCUAAAUAAACUAAACCGAAGAAAAUAAAUAAAACCGAUCUAAUAAAAAACCGCGGUUUAAAAAAACCGGGCGGUUUUUCCGAAGAAGCCCGCCGGCGGCGGGGCGGCUACCUCCGGCGAGGUCCGGCGUCGGGCUCCGGCAGGCGGGGCGGCGGCGCCGGUGGUCGACAAGGCGGGACGAGGCGGCNNNNNNNNNNNNNNNNNNNNNNNNNNNNNNNNNNNNNNNNNNNNNNNNNNNNNNNNNNNNNNNNNNNNNNNNNNNNNNNNNNNNNNNNNNNNNNNNNNNNNNNNNNNNNNNNNNNNNNNNNNNNNNNNNNNNNNNNNNNNNNNNNNNNNNNNNNNNNNNNNNNNNNNNNNNNNNNNNNNNNNNNNNNNNNNNNNNNNNNNNNNNNNNNNNNNNNNNNNNNNNNNNNNNNNNNNNNNNNNNNNNNNNNNNNNNNNNNNNNNNNNNNNNNNNNNNNNNNNNNNNNNNNNNNNNNNNNNNNNNNNNNNNNNNNNNNNNNNNNNNNNNNNNNNNNNNNNNNNNNNNNNNNNNNNNNNNNNNNNNNNNNNNNNNNNNNNNNNNNNNNNNNNNNNNNNNNNNNNNNNNNNNNNNNNNNNNNNNNNNNNNNNNNNNNNNNNNNNNNNNNNNNNNNNNNNNNNNNNNNNNNNNNNNNNNNNNNNNNNNNNNNNNNNNNNNNNNNNNNNNNNNNNNNNNNNNNNNNNNNNNNNNGCGGGAUCCGCCGGCGGCGGCGCUAGGGUUUGGCAGGGCUGGGGCGGCUCGGGCGCCUCGGGCUUUAAAGGCCCAGCUGGGUCGGUGUCCCAGGCGGACACGGCCCGGUUAGGUCGGUUCGUUUUUUAAAUAGUUUCGCGCAGAAAAACAAUUAAAAGAAAUACUAAACGGACUCCAAAAAUCCCAAAAUAAAUUUUCCCCGUCCUCUAAAAUAAAACCGGACAAGAUGAACAUUCAUUUGGGGCCAAAAUGUAAUUUUGAAAACGCAUAUUUUUCCUAAAUUCAAAUAAAAUAGCGAUAAAAUCCGAAAUAAAAUCUUAUUAGAUUUUAUUAUUAAAUCCUCAAUAUUUCUUUAUUUUGGGAAAGUCAUUUUAUUACCUCUCUCUUAUUUUUAUUAUUGAAAUAAUUGAAGAUAAAAUAAAUAAAAUCAAAUGAUCCUAUUUUCAAAAUUUGAGAAAACCCAAAUAUGAAAAUAACGAAAUCCCCAACUCUCUCUGUGGGUCUUUGAGUUGCGAAGAAUUUCUAGGAUCUAGCCAAGAUGCAAAUAAAAAAAUAUGAUAUGCAAUGAUGAUCUAUUGUAUAACAUUCCAAAUUGAAAAUUUGGGAUGUUACAGUUGGAGGCACUCGUUGUUUCGAGCAAGCCAUGGAUUGAUGCUUGUUGGUGGAGGGUGAGUAUAAACUUUACCAUUCUGUUUGGGAACUGCCUAUGAUGUGUGUAGCAUGGAAGAUAUCGCCAUCUCUUGGUUGUUAUGUUGACAAUGAAAGUAUGCCGCUCAAAAUAUUAUUUAUCUCUAUUUCAAGACCGAGCUCUGGCACCUCUACAAAUCCCUGCUUCCCUCUGCGAAGGGCCUAUCUAUUUACUUUUAAGUUGAGUCAUCACCCUCUUAUUAAAAAGCACCUGCUGGAGAGCACCGCUGUCAUUUGCAUCCAUUACUAUUAAUGUAUAUUGGGUAUGACUAUGAUUGGAUCUCUUUUACCAUGAAUUACAAUGUCUAGUCAGUCCUCGAUCUUUAAAGGUGCUCUGCAUUUAUGUUUUGUGGCCUCAGAAAGGGCUAGCGAGAUACCAUCUUGUUAUAUAAUAUUAUGAUUGUUUUGAGAAAGUGUUGUCAUCCGAGAUUUAUUAUUAUUGCUCGCUAGUUGAUUAUGCCAUUGAUAUGUGUAAACAUGAGACCUAAGUGUUAUUGUGAAUAUGGUUAGUUCAUAAUCUUUGCUGAAAACUUGAAUGCUGGCUUUACAUAUUUACAACAACAAGAGCAAACAGAGUUUGUAAAAGUUUUUCUUUAUUACUUUCAGUUUAUCAACUGAAUUUCUCGAGGACAAGCAAAGGUUUAAGCUUGGGGAAGUUGAUACGUCUCCGCCGUAUCUACUUUUCCAAACACUUUUGCCCUUGUUUUGGACUCUAACUUGCAUGAUUUGAAUGGAACUAACCCGGACUGACGCUGUUAUCAACGGAGAUUUAUUUUGGAAAAUAUAAAAAAUACUGGCGAAAGAAUCAAGGCCAGGGGGCACACACCCUCUCCACGAGGGUGGGCGGCACGCCAGCCUCCCCUGGGCGCGCCCCCUGCCUCGUGCCCCCCUGGAGCUCCACCGACCUCAACUCCAACUCCAUAUAUUCGUGUUCGGGGAGAAAAAAAUCACGUUUUACGAUAUGGAGCCGCCACCAAGCCCUAAACUCUCUCGGGAGGGCUGAUCUGGAGUCCGUUUGGGGCUCCGGAGAGGGGAAUCCGUCGCCAUCAUUAUCAUCAACCAUCCUCCAUCACCAAUUUCAUGAUGCUCACCGCCGUGCGUGAGUAAUUCCAUCAUAGGCUUGCUGGACGGUGAUGGGUUGGAUGAGAUUUAUCAUGUAAUCGAGUUAGUUUUGUUAGGGUUUGAUCCCUAGUAUCCACUAUGUUCUGAGAUUGAUGUUGCUAUGACUUUGCUAUGCUUAAUGCUUGUCACUAGGGCCCGAGUGCCAUGAUUUCAAAUCUGAACCUAUUAUGUUUUCAUGAAUAUAUGCGAGUUCUUGAUCCUAUCUUGCAAGUCUAUAGUCACCUACUAUGUGUUAUGAUCCGGCAACCCCGAAGUGACAAUAAUCGGGACCACUCCCGGUGAUGACCAUAGUUUGAGGAGUUCAUGUAUUCACUAUGUGUUAAUGCUUUGGUCCGGUACUCUAUUAAAAGGAGGCCUUAAUAUCCCUUAGUUUCCAUUAGGACCCCGCUACCAUGGGAGGGUAGGACAAAAGAUGUCAUGCAAGUUCUUUUCCAUAAGCACGUAUGACUAUAUUCGGAAUACAUGCCUACAUUACAUUGAUGAAUUGGAGCUAGUUCUGUGUCACCCUAUGUUAUGACUGUUACAUGAUGAACCACAUCCGGCAUAAUUCUCCAUCACCGAUCCAAUGCCUACGAGCUUUUCACAUAUUGUUUUCCGCUUAUUUACUUUUCCGUUGCUGCUGUCACAAUCACUACAAAACCCAAAAAUAUUACUUUUGCUACCGCUACCGUUACUUCCAUACUACUUUGCUACUAAAUACUUUGCUGCAGAUAUUAAGUUAUCCAGGUGUGGCUGAAUUGACAACUCAGUUGCUAAUACUUGAGAAUAUUCUUUGGCUCCCCUUGUGUCGAAUCAAUAAAUUUGGGUUGAAUACUCUACCCUCGAAAACUGUUGCGAUCCCCUAUACUUGUGUGUUAUCAGAAAUCAAUAUCAGAUGGAGUCCAAACGCAAUGAAACUCCACAGAGAUUUUUUUUGGACCACAAGGAAUAUAAUGGGCCCUGGCUGCGCCUGGGGGCGGUGCUCCGAGGAGAGCACAACCCACUAGGGUGCGCCAGGAGGCCCAGGCGCGCCCUGGUGGGUUGUGCCCACCUCGGGUGCCCCCCGAACCGCCUCUUUGCUCUAUAAAUACCCCAAUAUUCCCAAACCCUAGGGGAGUUGACGAAAUAUUGAUCCAGCCGCCGCAGAGUCCAGAACCACCAGAUCCAAUCUAGACACCAUCACAGAUGGGGUUCACCACCUCCAUUGGUGCCUCUCCGAUGAUGCGUGAGUAGUUCUUUAUAGACCUUCGGGUCCGUAGUUAGUAGCUAGAUGGCUUCCUCUCUCUCGCUGAAUUCUCAAUACAAUGGUCUCUUGGAGAUCCAUAUGAUGUAACUCUUUUGCGAUGUGUUUGUUGGGAUCAAUGAACUUUGAGUUUAUGAUCAGAUCUAUCUUUUUAUAUCCAUGAAAGUUAUUUGAGUUUCUUCGAUCUCUUAUAUGCAUGAUUGCUUAUAGCCUCGUAUUUCUUCUCCGAUAUUUGGGUUUUGGUUGGCCAACUUGAUCUAUUUAUCUUGCAAUGGGAAGAGGUGCUUUGUAGUGGGUUCGAUCUUACGGUGGUUGAUCCUAGUGACAAAAGGGGAACGACACGUAUGUAUCGUUGCUACUAAUGAUAAAAUGAUGGGGUCUAUCUCUACAUAGAUAGAUCUUUUCUACAUCAUGUCAUCAUUCUUAUUGCAUUACUCCGUUUUUCCAUGAACUUAAUACACUAGAUGCAUGCUGGAUAGCGGUCGAUGUGUGGAGUAAUAGUAGUAGAUGCAGGCAGGAGUCAGUCUACUAAUCUUGGACGUGAUGCCUAUGUAAUGAUCAUUGCCUGGAUAUCGUCAUGAUUAUUUGAAGUUCUAUCAAUUGCCCAACAGUAAUUUGUUUACCCACCGUUUGCUAUUUUUCUCGAGAGAAGCCACUAGUGAAACCUACGGCCCCUGGGUCUCUUUCUCAUAUAUUUACCUUUGCGAUCUACUUUUCCUUUGCAUUUAUUUUCAGAUCUAUUAAACCAAAAAUACAAAAAUACCUUGCUGUGUUUUAUUUCUAUUUAUUUUGUUUGGCGUUCGAUCUAUCAAUCUACUACAAAUUUAUCUCACGCCGUUUGCCUAUCUUGAGGCGCCGUACCCCGGAAGGGAUUGACAACCCCUUUAACACGUGGGGCUGCGAGUGGUUGUUAUUUGUGUGCAAGGGCUGUUUACGUUGUGUUGCUUGGUUCUCCUACUGGUUCGAUAACCUUGGUUUCAUAUCUAAGGGAAAUACCUACCGCCGUCGUGCUGCAUCAUCCCUUCCUCUUUGGGGAAAUACCGACGUAGCUUCAAGCGACAUCAAAAGGAAUUUCUAGCGCCGUUGCCGGGGAAGAUCUUCAAUAUAUACCAGGUUCCUAAUCACAAAUCUCAUCUCCUCGCAAUUUACAUUAUUUGCCAUUUGCCUCUAGUUUUCCUCUCCCCCACCUCACAAAAAUUUGCCGUUUUAUUCGCCCCUCCUUUUUCGUUUGCCAUUUUCUUGCCGGAUCUGUUCUUGUGUGCGUUCUUGUUUGCGUAGUCAUGAUGCCUCAAAGAAAAUAUUAUGAUGUUCCUUACCCAAAUAUUUUGCUUGAAAUUUAGAAAAGUUCUAAGGAAUAUAUGACUACACAAUUUGAGCAUAAUAAGUAUUUUAUUGAAUAACUUAAGGAGCACUUCGUUGUGCUAGAUGCUAUUACAAAACAACUUGAUGAUAUUAGUAGAGAAGUUUGCAAUCUCCAAUCUAAGUAUGCUUUUGCCGAAAUUUUGUUAGGAAAAAUAUCCGAUGCACAAGCUACCUUAGUAAAUCAAAUGGCCGCUAAACCAAUCUCGUUAGAGGAUAAAAGUGAUGAAGAUCUUAAAAUAAUUGGUGUUUCUUCUAUUGAUUCCUUGUUUAGUAAAGUUAAGAUUGAUGAAAAAGGGACUGGAGAAGAGUCAAUUUAGGUAGAAGGCGUCCCAAUACUUCGGAGGGUGAAAAUCUUGUUGAGAAAAUUGAUGAAAGUGGGUUUGAAGAGGUCAAAACUUUAGCUAGUGAUGUGCCCACUCUUUUGGAUUACAAAUACUUUAAUUAUGAUAGUUUAUUUUUAAUUGAUUGUAUUUCUUUGAUGCAAUCCAUGAUAAAUUCACCCCAUUCUUAUGAACAAAAUAAAGCUUUUACUAAACAUAUUGUUGAUGCUAUGAUGAAAGCUUUUGAAGAAAAAUUGGAAUUAGAAGUAUCAAUUCCUAGAAAAUUGCAUGAUGAGUGCGAACCUACUAUCAAAGUCAAGAUUAAAAACUAUGAGUGUUUUGCUUUGUGUGACUUGGGUGCUAGUGUUUCUACAAUUCUGAAAUCUUUAUGUGAUGUGCUUGGUCUUACCGAUCUUGAAGAGUGUUCUUUAAAUUUGCACUUGGCGGACUCUACUAUUAAAAAGCCUAUGGGAAGAAUUAAUGAUGUUCUUAUUCUUGCAAAUAGGAAUUAUGUGCCCAUAGAUUUUAUUGUUCUUGAUAUUGAUUGCAAUCCGUCUUGUCCAAUUAUUCUUGGUAGACCGUUUCUACGCACUAUUGGUGCCGUGAUUGAUAUGAAAGAAGGCAAUAUUAAGUUCCAAUUUCAUUUUAAGAAGGGUAUGGAACACUUACCUAGAACAAGAAUUAGGCCACCAUAUGAAUCAAUCAUGAGGGCAUCUUAUGGAUCUCGAAUAAAAGAUGACAAAACUUAGAUCCUUGCUUUAUGCCUAGCUAAGGGCGUAAAACUAUAGAGCUUGUUGGGAGGCAACCCAAUGAAUAAAAUUUAUUUUUGCUUUUUGAUUUAUGUUCCUGAGUGUUAGCACAAUUAUUCUACUGUUAUGAUUGUGUUUUUUGUGUUUUAAUUAGUGUUUGUGCCAAGUAGAAUCAAUAGGAUCUUCUUGGGUGAUAGUUGUUUGAUCUUGCUGAAAAAAGCAGAAACUUUUGCACUCACAAAAACAAUUCUUAUUUUUUAUCGGAGCGUGAUAAAAUGCCAAUUCUUUUUGUAGUAGAUUAAUAUACAACUUACCCAGGUCGUCCUAGUUUUUAAGAAUUUUUGGAGUUCCAGAAGUAUUCGAAGAAAUCAGAUUGCUACAGACUGUUCUGUUUUGACAGAUUCUGUUUUCUCUGCGUUGUGUGCUUAUUUUGAUGGCUCUAUGGUUUUCUUUGAUGAGUUUUUGCCAUAGAAAAUUUGGAAUACAGUAUAUUUAAUGCAAAAACAAAAUAUGAAUUGGUUUGAUACAAUACUUAUAGUGAUUUACUUUUUUUUACACUAACGGAUCUCAUGAAGGUUUUGUUGAGUUGUGUGUAAUUGAAGUUUUCAAGUUUUGGGUUAUCUUACAAUGGAUGAAGGAAUAAGGAGUAGAAGAGCCUAAGAUUGGGGAUGCCCUGGUAUCCCAAGCUAUUAUCCAAAAAUGAGCAACCAACUAAGCUUGGGGAUGCCCCCAAGUGGCAUCCCCUCUUUCUUCUAACGACCAUCGGCAUUUUACUCGAAGCUAUAUUUUUAUUCGUCAAAUGAUAUAUGUUUUGCUUGGAGCGUCUUGUAUGAUAUCCGUCUUUGCUUGUUUUAUUUUGUGUUUUAAGUCUUGAUCCCUUGCUGGACACACUUAUUUGGGAGAGCCAAAAUUAUGUCAUGACUUGUUAGAAUUGCUCUCUAUGCUUCACUUAAAAUUUUAUGAGCUAUGGACUUGCUCUAGUGCUUCACUUAUAUCUUUUUGAGCACGGUGUGCUUAGUAUUUUUGAAGAAAUGCUCUCUUGCUUCACUUAGAUUUAUUUGAGAGUUAGUAAAAUUUUCAAGAAAUUCUUUCUUGCUUCCAUUAAAUUAUUUUGAGAGAAAGAAAAAAAAUUAUGCUCAUGAUCUUCACUUAUAUUUGUUUGAGCUUAUGAAAAGAAACACAUGAAAAUUAGUCCCUAAGUGAUAGAUAUCCAAGAAGGAUGUAAUAAAAACUUUCAUGAAGAUCAUUGGACAAAAUAAACUUGAUUCUUAGUAAUAGUUUUGAGAUAUGUUGAUGUGAUAUGUGAGUUAUGUUGAUGAGUAAUUAUGCUUUAGUAAGAAUAUUGGUGUUAAGUUUUGUGAUUCCCUAUGCAAGCACGAAAGUCAAUAGUCAUGCAAUGAAAUUAUAUCCUACUUGUGGUGCAUUAUUCGGUGUUAAUUAUGCUUAAUUCUUGCUUAUGGGAUUAUCCGUUUCUUGGUUGGUCGCUUCUCAAUCUUUUGCUAGCCUUCAUUUUGCACUAAGUAUGAUCUCCACAUGUGCAUCCAAAAUCCUUUAAACCAGUUUUGCCUCAUGAGUCCACUAUAUCUACCUAUAUGCAGUAUUCUUUUGCCAUUCUAAGCAAAUUUGUAUGUGCCAUCUCUAAUUUUCAAAAUAAACUUCUCUUUUGUGUGUUCGUUCCGCUCGUGGAGUGGUGAGGGGUGGAUAAUAUUUUCCAUGCUAGAUGUGUUAUUCUCAUGAUGAGUGUUUAUUCAUUUGUCAUUACACAAGAGUAAGGCAAAGGUAUUAGGGAUGCCCAGUCCCGAAAUGAAAAAUGAAUUUACUUUAUGUUGUCAAAUAAUAAAUUCCUUGGAAAGUGUUGGUAUGGAGGGCAACCGUGGAUACGGCUAGCCAUGGAAAGUGAAAGUAUGGUUGAAGGAAUAAACUUUAUUUUCUGUUUGGGAACCGCCUAUGAUAUAUCUAGCAUGGAAAGUGUUGGGAACUCUAAGUUGUUUUCGUUGGUGGGAUGGAUACACCUCCCAAAAUGUUUUUAUCUCUAAGUUUUUCGCUUUGAGCUCUGGCACCUCUACAAAUCCCUACUUCCCUCCGCGAAUGGCCUUUCUUUUACUUUAUGCAAUUUUUAUUUUUGAAUUUGAGUCUCCAUCUUCUCUUAUAAAAACACCAACUAAGAGGCAUUAUGAUCGUACUUAAGUAUUGGGUGUAGCUAAUAUGCGAGUGUGUUUCAUGAAUGGAUCAAUGGUUGAGCAUGAUGGGCUAGGGAUAACUUAUUUUAGUGUUGAUAUUUUGAAAGAUAUGGUUGCUUGUUGAUAUGCUUGAGUAUUUAAAUUAUCAUGUCAAAACUAGACUAUUGCUUUGAAUCACAUAAAAGUCCAAAUAUCCAUGCUAUAAAGAAAAGAAUAAGAUAUGACAUGUUAGGCAGCAUUCCACAUCAAAAAUUCUGUUUUUAUCACUUACCUACUGAUACGUCUCCAACGUAUCUAUAAUUUUUUAUUGUUCCAUGCUAUUAUAUUAUCCAUCUAGGAUGUUUUAUAUGCAUUUAUAUGCUGUUUUAUAUGAUUUUUGGGACUAACCUAUUAACCUAGAGCCCAAUGCCAGUUUCUGUUUUUUUCCUUGUUUUUGAGUAUUGCAGAAAAGGAAUACCAAACGGAGUCCAAUUGACCUGAAAAUUCACGGAGAUUGUUUUUGGACCAGAAGAAGCCCACGGAGUACCCGAGAUGGACCAGAAGUGUCCCGAGGCCACCACGAUGGUGGGGGCGCGCCCUACCCCCUGGGCACGCCCCUACCUCGUGGCCGCCUCCACUACAAAAAAUACACUUCCAUGAUGAUACGUGUUUGUCACAGUAGGUCAUGUUUUCUGUCAUGCAUGUACAUCCAUGAAAAAUUUAUGACAGAAUCAAGAUAGUCAUGCCUGUGCUGUCGUAGAAGUGUUCCAUGACAUUACCAAAAUUAUCAUCACGGAAGUGUCCACUUCCAUGACGAUAAAUCGCGCGUCAUAGAAGUGCUUUCGUCAAGGGUGACCGACACGUGGGAUCCACCGUAACGGAACGCCAUUAAGCUAUCGGAUCCGGUUUUGGAUCCGAUAACCCGUUAACAGCCCCGACCAAUGGGGAUUUUCCACGUGUAAAAUCAUCAUUGGCUGGAGGAAACACGUGUCGGCUCACCGUUGGGACAGAUGUCAUCCCCUCAUUGGACCCGAAGCGCCUAUGAUGCGUCGACACGUGGCACGGCCCAACAGAGGCCCAUUCCUGUGAAAAGGCCGGCCCGUUUGACUUGGUCAAAAGGUGGCGGGCCGGCCCACGGCAAGCCUGUUAACGGCCUGUUCGCAUAUAACCCAUUUACAGCCCGCUAACCCAGGGCCCGUUUAUGGCCUAUCCGAAUUAGGCCCAGUAGCGACAUCUGGGCCGUCCAAUAUAAUUCUAGCCCGUUUUAACUUCCGACCCAUGUAUGGCCCAUGACGUCUUUCGGCCCAUAUGAGGCCCUUUGUAACUCUCGGCCCAUUAAUGGCCCGUGGUAAAACUGGCCCGUAAUGAACAGUGUAUGACUUUAUACCCAUUAGCGGCACGUGGUGAAACUGGCCCGUAAUGAAGAGUGUAUCACUUUAUACCCAUUAACGGCCCGUUAUUCCGUUGGGCCAUUUCUAGCCCAUGUUAUCUUUCGGCCUUCUCAGGGCCCAUUUUUUCUUGGGCUCAUUUCCAGCAUUCGUUUACUUACGGCCUGUUACUGUCAUUUUCUGCUUGUGGGCCAAAUCCAGCCCGUGGUUACAGUCGGCCCGUUUGUGGCCCAUUAGUACGUUGAGCCGUUUUCAUAGCAUCAUCAAAUACGGCCGAUUAACGAUGGCCCAUUAUGGUCAGCCCAUGAACGGACGAUUUCAACUCUAGCCCAUUUACGGCCAUAAUGUGGUCUGUUAUUGGCCCAUGUUUGGCCAACCGAUCAUACGGCCCGUAGAAGGCCCAUUGAUGAUACGGCCCGUAGAAGUCCCAUCGUUUCUACGGCCCAUAUAAGGCCCAUUGUUUCUACGCCCCGUAGAAGGCCCAUUGUUUCUACGGCCCGUAGGAGGCCCAUGCUAACUACAGUAAAUAUGUAGCCCAUGGUUAUUGUGGCCUAGUUUUAAAAAUAGGUUAUUGCGGCCACUAGCAAACCACGGAAAAAGAACUGCACUAACUAUAAGAAAACAAAUAAACAAGACAAUAAGGAAAUAAAUUAGCAAGCAACUUACGCUAGGCUAUCACGGCUAUUACACAUAUUACAUCCACUAGGCAUCACAGUUCGCCACCAGUGCAAAUAUAGGGAACAAAGCAGCAUAUAAACGCCGCAACAAAACAAGUCCAGAACUGAAACCACUUCAGAAGAGCUCAAGAAACAAUAUCCUGGGUACCCAUAAUGCUGGCAAGAUGCUUAGCAAGCUUAUUAACUUUCUCUUGUUUGGCGCUUAAAUCCUCCAGCACUUGCUGUUGCACUAGAAAGUAUGCAUCUGAAUUCUGCAGGGACUUCCUCAGUCCUUCGGCUUCCUAUCGCAUAACAUCUGAUCGAUGUCUUUCAACUUGAAGUUGAGACUCAAGAAGCCGAACUGAUUCAGGAAGCGAGUUCGAAGAGCUGGUGCCAGCAGUAGUAGCCAGUAACUCGAACACUACAUCAAGACAGGACUUUGGGGCUGUCUCAGUGUCUUCAAUAUAGUUUUUAUCAGCUUUCUUGGAGACCAACAGGGAUGUCUCACUACCUUGAACCUUAUCUGCAUUACUUCCUUUACCCUUGCAUAACGGGGUACUCUUCUCCAAUAUUUUAUUCUCUUUCUAAAAGAGAAACAAACAAACACAUCACAGGUUUACAAUGUAGUAUAUGAAACUCAUUUUGGUAAACCAGUUCAGUAGUAAGGUGGACAGGAUAACAGCAUGAAACAAACAUAUAUCUAUGUAGUAUGGUCACUCUAUGGUCUAUAUCAUUCUAGUUUAUGUUGCCAAAUCAAGAUAGAUACAGUUCGAAUCAUAUAUAUUUAAGACAAAGCAGCAUAGACAGAAUAUAAGUGUGGGAAACUACACAGCAAUAACAACACUUGUAAUGUGCAUGGCAUGAGAACAUAACUGUUUAUUCAAUUGAAACUGAAAUCAACAUAGAGCAAGUUACAACAACAAACACGUUAAAGAAACAGGUUUAAAACAUACCUGUUGCGCCAUUGGAGUUUCAAUUGCAUCCUUCAAAUUUGAAAUUAGUUGGUAUGAGUAAAUACAGUGAUGCAAGAGCAAAGUAGUAUGAACCAUAGCUACGGAACCUGACCUGAGAACAAUUCUUCUUCUGCUUUAAGCGUUGACUUGGGGUUCGAAGUGGUGGUCCUCGUGCUUUGGGCACUACAGUUGCCUUACUAACUGCUCGUGUUUGGGUGCUCUUUGGUGGAGACGGUGUUGUGUCAACGGGAACUGGGUUACUAUCUGCUGGGGUUGGGGUUAGAAGGGGUGUAGCUGGUUCUCUGUCCAACUGGGUAGGGGUACAAUCUGCGUGAGUCUGGGUUAUGUGUGGUGGGGCUGGUUCUUGGGCAAGUACAACCGUGGUUCUAUCUCCAUCAACAGGUAGCACGAUCUUUUCUGAAGACCGUGUUUUUACUCCCACAGAUACUGCCAUCACCCCCUCCAAUUGAAAUGGCUGAUAAACAAGAAAAGUAAUUGAAUGUACAGACAUUGUAAGAUAGACAGGUGCAAUGGAUAGUAGGGAAGAAAACAGGGCAUGAAAUAAUUCACAUUUAUGUUGUCUAACCAAACAGAAUAGCAGGACAUAAUUUCACAUAUAUGAUGGCUAAUUUAACAGGAUAGCAUGACACAAUUUCACAUGUAUGAUGGCUAACUAAACAGGAUAGAAUGACAUACUUCAAAAUAUGGUGACUAUGUAAACAGGAUGACAAGAUAUAACUAUACGAUGUGUCUAUUAAAGUGGUUGGCAUGCCAUAAAUCACAAACAUGCCGUCGAUGGAAACAUGAUGGCAUGAUAUAAUUCACAGAUAGAAUGACAUAAUUCAAAAUAUGAUGACUAUGUAAACAGGAUGAGAUGAUAUAACUAUAUUAUGUCUUUAGAAAAUGGGUUGGCAUGCCAUAAUUCAGAUACAUGCUGUCUAUGUAAACAUCAUGGCAUGAUAUAAUUCAAAUAUAUAAUUUAUAUACUAGGAAGUGAGCAGAGGGCAAUCGCAUAUAUGAUGUGUCAACUAAGGAGUUGGCAUUCAAUAUCGUGUAUAUGAUGUAAAAAACUAAGCAUUGCAAUACAACAUAUGCAUGAUGUGAGUAAUAUAACCCUGCCAAGUUUGAGCAUACACCUCAGGGGGUUAAUAGGACUGGUCAUCUGCCUCUGAAUCCUCCUCUGAAGAGCUAUCUGUAACCAGCAAGAUAUCUGCUUCAGCAGGUAGCAUUGUCUGAUCUAAAGACCUUGUUUUCACUCCAGAUUUCUCAAUCACCAAUUCAAAUGGCUGAUGCACAGGAAGAGCAGUUGAAUAUACAAACAUUGUCAACAAAAGCAAUGAGAAAUACAAAAAAAGGACGACAUGAUAUAAUUUACAUAUAUGACGCUUGGCUAAACAGCAUGGCAUUACAUAAUUCACAUAUAUAAUGCCUUGCAACAAGAUAGCAUUGCAUAAUUCACAUAUAUAAUGUCUUGCAACAAGAUGGCAUUGCAUAAUUCACAUAUAUGGUAAUUAGACACUAAACAGGUGGCAUUCACACAAAGCAUGUCUAAACUAAGGAAAUGACAUAGCAAUGCAAGAUACCAUAUGCACGAUAUGAGCAACAUAACCCUGCCAAGUUAGAGCAUGCACCUGGGGGGAAUAGGACUGGUCAUCUGUCUCUGAAUCCUCCUCUGAGGAGCUAUCUGUAACCAGCAAGACAUGCGCUUCGUCAGAUAGCAUUGUCUGCUCUGAAGACCUUGUUUCCACUCUAGUUUUUCCCAUGACCGUGCCGAAUGGCUGAUGCACAGGAAGAGUAAUUGAAUGUACUAAAAUUGUUGACAAAUUUAACACGUAAUAAAAAAUGAUGUCAUGAUAUAAUUCACAUAUAAGAUGACUGGCUAACCAGGGUGGCGUUGCAAAAUUCAAAUAUAUGAUGCCUGGCUAAACAAGAUGGCAUUGCAUGAUUCACAUAUACGAUAAAGAAACUAAACAAAUGGCAUUGACACAAAACAUGUCUAAACUAAGCCGAUGACAUCUUUGAUUUAUACAGUAAGCAAUGCAAGGCACCAUAUGCAUGAUAUUACCAACAUCAGCAUGCCAAGUUAGAGCGAAGACCUCAUGGGGUAAAUAGGAGUGGUCUUCUGCUUCUGAAUCCCCCUCAGAACAGUUAUCUUCCUCUUGAUUACGAUCCGAAAUGGGUGGAGGGGGCUGCCUUUGCGCCCACCAUGGAGCGACGUCUGCAUGAAAUUUUAUUGCCACGCAAGGCUCGUCUCUUUUGCUCUACAUGUUCAGUUCCAUUGUGUACAAUAACUGACAUGCAUAGGAAUAAAACAUAGUGAGAUUAUGUAAGGAGUGCAUGCAGAAAUCUAGAGUGAUGGUAGCAAACUAUGGAUAGACCCAAAACCAAUGAUAGCAGGCAGAUAAUAGCUUUAGUAAAAAAAUAGAUAAUGGCUCCUUUAAUGUUUGUUUGCACCCAACAUGAAACUCAUAGUAGACACCCGAGAUUAACCAGAUAGUAGACAGAUAGUACCGAUUGCUGCCCCAAUAUGUACCCCACAACCAUUUAAAAACUCAAGUUUCAGCAUGACCUGACCCGGAAUCUAAUAGGUGAACACGACGAUAAAGUAUCAUGUCAUCAUAUUAAGUGAUGCAUAUCGUAAGCAGACACGGAAGAGUGCGACCUGUCUUGCGGACCCAUGUAGUCCUCAAGGUCAUCUGCUCACUUGAUGAUGGUAAUGCAAUUGUCGUGGCUGCCGGCGGCGGGGAAGAAGAUCUGAGGCGGCGAAAGAAAGUCUGGAGAGCGGAUCCCUGCUGUGGUGAACCCUUCCGUCGUUGGAGCAGCUGAGCUGGGGUGGAACACAGCACCGCAGGAGCAGGACAAACCACACAAGGUUUUCUUUGACACAUAUCUGUAACAAAAGUAAUUGUGUAAGGGCUUGUUUGAAUUUGAGGAUUCUAACAAUCCAGGGAUAGGAAAUAGACAGGAAUAGGAUAGGAAUGCACGUGCAAAACAGAGAAUUUAAAACACAGGAUUUCUGCCAAUCUGGGUGUUUGGUUCACAAGAAUUGGAAGAUCAUAGGAUGCAAAGAAGCAUGGUGAGAUUAAGUCAAACCACAAGAAGUGUACAACCUCUUUGGCGAAGCCAUGUCGAUCUCAGCGUGAUUCGGUUGGCCGGUGAGGAUGCUCCAGCUGACUUGGCUGUCGGAGGAGGGGAAGAAGAUCUUAGGCGUCUGGAGAUGGAGCCCGAGGUACUGCUCCGCUGUGAUGGAGGGUUUCGUCGUUGGAGCAGCUCCGGUGAGUUGUACGACGCCGAGGCUGAAGCAGGACAAGAGAGACAACGUUAACCUGAGUGGAAUUCUAAUAGCAUCUCCAAUAGAUUACGUAAAAUACAUAACCACAAAGUGCUAGAUGUAAAAUACAUCAGCUGCUCAUCUUUGAACUUAACUGUCGAAACUGAAUUUAACCAUCGAAAUUGAACUUGACUAUCGAAACUGAAUUUUGAUGUCGAAACUGAAUUUUACUGUCGAAACUGAACGCACUAGAGGUGAGGCUACACGUUAGUCGACUGACUUUUUCAUCUCUGGUUAGUCGAUUUUGCAGCCGUUGGAAACGAAAUCAAGGUCCUGCAGUUCAUCUUCAACCUCCACCACCCUGAGCCGCCAGCCACCACCGGCCAAACAGCCGCCCGCGGCCGGCGGUGCGCCGCCCCGCCCGCCUCGAAAACACUCCCAACCACCGGUCCGCCACCGCCCCGGCCAUCCCUCUAGCCCCCCGUGCCGAGCUUUUUCUCUGGCGAUCCUCACGCCACCGCCCCACCACCGCCGGUGACCACCGCCCCCACCCUAAACCCUAAGAUAGAUAGUGGGGUACCUCUCCGGCGAGCCCCCCUCCCCGUGGCGGUUGGUUCUUCCUUAACUCCGGCGAGCCCCCCACCCCCUGAAAAUUGACUGACCCAAAAGUCGAUUCAGUCAACUGAAGUGUAGCUAAAUUGGAGCAGCAUCGCAAGCAAGAGCAAGAGCGAGAGCAGCAGCGCGAGCAAGAGCAAGAGUAAGAGUAGACAAGGCAGGGGACCGAGAGCAAGAGCAGAGCAGCAGCGCAAGCGAGAGCUAAAGCAGCAGCAGC